CAAGGGAAAAACCAACGCAAGCAAGUCUCCGUCAACGUGUCAAUUUCUGGCGUUGUUGUUUGAGAAGUAACAAGGAGUAUCACGACGAGCUGGCCCGGCAGGGAAACUACCUCCAGCUUAGGUGCGAGGCGCGCCAGGAGGAGGUAGGCAUGCUCCAGGCCCAGCUGCAGGACACCUAAGUCGCUCUCUAGGUGGCCCUCAGGGCAAGGAGGGCAAUAAGGAGGAUUUGCCGCUGCUUCAGGCCUAGGUCAGGGAAGCUACCGAUGUCGUGCAUGUGGCCAAGGAUGAUGUUGCGCAUGCGCGGAUGCUGGAGGUGCAACGCACCAAGCAGUUCUUGGGGCUUGCCUGUCGAACAAACGGCAUGAUUUGCCACUUCGUUGAGGACGCCUCGUGUUUCCACAGGCGCAUGGCGACACGAGAUACCUUGACUUUUUCCUCAAGGUGGCGGAGGCGCUGGAAUCGGGCGUCUCCAAGGUGGAUGAAGACAUCGAGUCUAGCGCGCACAGCCUCGUGGACAGCGUGCUCACACACGUCUUCUCCAACGUACGCCACCAAGACCCUACUUCGACCUCCCACGCGCGAUGGAGCCCGUGCCCGCGGAUCUCCGGAGCCCUCUCGGGGAUGAGGUGCGCAAGCACCUGAAGUUCUUGGUCGGGCGGUUCGUCCAGGCUGCACCCUCUGAGCAGAGGGGCAGCCUCACCGCCGGGGCCUCCGGGGGCCACGACGAGGACAAUGCCUCCUUUGCUUAGGAUUUUUAUCCCUUUCCUGUUGCGUCAAGAGUCACUUGGCCCUUGGAGGGCAUUAGACAUUAUGUAAUAUACCUUUCCUUUAAGUAGUGGUUGCUUGUUAUGCUUGGGGUGCCUUUGUUCCUUUUGCGAGGUCCUCCGUUGCCCUUCACAUGUUUACUAUGCUCUCGCCGGCAGGGUCCCAUAACAAGCGGCUCCCAAGGCCCUCACCCCUGACGCGCGACGGGGGCCUCGGGGCGACAACCCCCCAGCACUUCUUGGUCCUCGUCCUUACCUGGCUAGGCUGUCAAUUCACGUUCUCUUGGCCAUCCGACCCCGCGAAGACCUCGGGGCAGCUUCUCGAUGAGGCCCCGCGAGGGCGCCUCGAAGGCCUUGAUAACAGUUGCUUGUGCGAUCCUUGCGAGGCUGGUGCCCUCGCGAGGGCCUUGUCUGCGCAGCCUAGAGAUGGACCGAUCCCAGGUCGUGGCGCGCGCCAUGGGGUCACGAGCAGGCAUCCCUGGGCUCCUCCAGGCCCACAGGCCCAGCAGUGCAAUCCGUGGAAGCGCAUCACGUGCACUUCAUUUGGUGAUGGGAAUUGAGACGGCGCAGGCCCUCCCUGUGUCAGAGUCAAGCAUGACAUGUGGCGCAGGAUGGGACGUGGGACACUCCCGCUUCCCCAUGACCCCUCAGCAACCGCUCGGUGCUGACAUAUAGCAUGCGGGCAGCGCGGGACCGUCAUUGCCUCAAUUAACCUUCCACCUGAUGAAUGCAGGCAAGGAGAUGCAGACUGAACGUCUGCUUGGAGGCGCCAUAUAAGGGUAAAGGGAACGGUCUCCUACCCCAACUUCCUCAUCCUAACUCUUCGUUCUUGGUCAUUGUCGCCGUUGUUAUGGCACCAGUGAAGAUAUCCUCCGCCGCCGAGGAUGGGACAACAACGAAGGGGGGAGUGGGUGCGCGGCGACCGGCAAGGGGAAGAGGCUGCCCCCGCUCGCCCGUCACCGCACUCGAGGCACCUCUCGGGGGAUGCAAGCGCUACCCGUCGGCGGCCUGUGCCAGCCCGAGCAGCCAUGGGAGGGGUUCCAUUUGUGGGCGCGUCGGACGAGGCAGCCGCGGACGGGCCCGGCGGGGCAGCACAGACACCCGGCCUCCGAGAUCGCGAAGUCACUCCGCCGACGUGGCCCGCAAGUUCCUUGUAUGAAUGGAAGGUAAGCCUCGCACAUGGCUCCAGCUGCCGGACUCUUUCAUGGUGGAUAUCAAGGAGCUUCCACCCCUGGGCCUGUGGCUGCAAUCAGACAGUUGCUGCAAUGGGCCUACCUGGGUGGCAACGGAUUUCAACUCCCUCCGCUUCAUGUUCUUGGGGAGUGAGUGCAAGUCGUUCACCCUUUCCCAAGGCUUGUAGGAAGGGCACGUCCUCCACUCCAAGUUUGACGGGGCCGCCAUGCUCUUCUUGAAGACCUUCGGAAGUGCCGGUGGUCGCAUGUACUCCUGCAUGGAAAGUGACAAUAGAGGCAGCAGCAACCCUUGUGGCACCGACGAUAGUGGCAGCUUCUCCUCAGGGGGGUGGGGGCAACAACGACUAUGAUGGCUCCUUGGGCGCCCACGUCAAGGAGGAGGAGGAUUCCGAAUAAGCGUGUGUGACGAGGCAUUGAGGCCCCCGGUGGUGGUGCUUCGAGAGUGUGAUCUUCUUUCUUUGCGUCGCCUUCUUUUUCGUGUAAUGCAACAUGCUGGCCCUGUGGGGGCAUGUAAAAGGGGUUAUGUCCUUCACGCUUCAAAUUGAUUUGAACACUAUUUUGGGUCAAAAAUGAACUUGUCCUUAGUACUCUUUGUUGUGCUUGAACCCUCUCCAAGGUCAUCCAAACGCCUUGCGACGCCAAGGCCCAGUCCCCAAGCAUAAUUAUGAGGUCUCCUGAGGCACGGUGCUCAGGGUCUUGCCUUCUUCACGCGAGCGGCCCACGCAAGGGGUUGCUGCUUGUGGGGCCCACCUUGCGAGUCCCCUUGAGGGAAGUCCCCCGGAGGAGGCGUCUUGUCCCGAUGGUGCGUUCUUGUCCACUUGCAUCUGGGCGUUACACAAGAAGUAUAGGCCCCUACGGCCUUGAUGAGGUGACACAUGCGUGGAGUGUGCCCGUGAGCCAGAACCCAGUUCUCUAGUCUCCCAGCACCGCCAGGGCAGACCCAGGCCAAGGCACUGUGCCCAGCUACCAUGAGCGUGAGGCCCAAGGUAAACCAGCGGGCGCGUGCCGGGGGGAUACCUUCAUCGUCUUCUCCCCAGCACGAUGCAUGGGGCUUCCGUUAGGUGCGGGCAUGGUAAGAAGAGAGAAAACCAAGGAAACUUCGCGAAAACCAGAAGACCAAGACCUUCACUAAAACCCGAGGCUAACUUGUUCGCGAGCCCAAAAAGGGGAGGUGCGGCUGGCGUAUACAGCAUGGGUCAGCUUGGUGAGCUCGUUCACAAGUCGAAGAAAGAAAGGAAUAAAAGUGGUUUCCAUAUCUUGCACGGGUCAACCUGGAAAGAAACGUGUCUGCCAUAUCUAGCACGGGUCAACCUAAAAGAAGUGUUAGUUGUGGCCCACAGGACAUCUUCUUGAAUCGUUCCCCAGGCGCGAUGCAAGGGGAUUCCACGAGGGCAUGGGCAUAGUCGCGGUUCGACAGUCAUUCCGCGAGUGUGGAGCAUAGGGACUUCCACUUGGGUGUGGGAGGAGCCCUCCAUCGCGGCCACGGCACGGCUCGUCAUGGGCUACCACUUAGGAGGCUCUGGGUGUAUACAGCCCACUCGUUCUUAUGUGAGAGUGUUAUGGGCAAUGAUGAUUGGAUGGACACCCCAGGCCCAAAGCUCGGGAGUGUCUACCCCAGUCUUCAAGCGCUUUUGUGCGUUUCCGUGUAGGAGUGCGCAUGUCUAAGAAACGCUCUUGUGGACCAAACAUGAGGGCCAUCGCGCACCGCGUGGCCAUAAGAGUGUGCCAUUAGGCGAGCCAUUAUGGGACGCAGCAAGGCUCCUGCCCCGUGAUAGCGCGAGCCAAGCCGCAUCCCCUCCAUCUACCCACGACGGCUCUUUGGGAGAGCGCGACACUAAGGACCUUAGCGAGAUGACUAACACAGGUGGCCAGCCCACGAGCCAGAGCUCAAUCACUUCAAUUUCUCGGUGCUGCAAGGACAAGUCCUAACACACACAGCGUGUCUAACCCCCACUUCGGAACCAUCACAGGGCAGUUUUGGGGGGCACCAGCCCCCAGCAAUGGCGAGCCACUACAGCUUAAGAUUCAAACAAAUGACACCACCUCAAUUGAAGGUUAUUCAGGUUCGUCACAUAUCCAAGAAACACCUGCUUGGGGCAAUGCAAAAUACAAGGAAUUGCUUGAUUCAAACGACCCAGAAAGGCAUCUAACGGCCAGGCUUCCGCGGGUGCGUGAGGCCGCUUGACAUGUGUAGGAUCGAAAGUAUAUCUAGAAGGGGGUGAUUAGACUACUUGACAAGAUAAAAACUUAGCCUUUUCCCAAUUUUUAAUGUGGGACUGUUUUAGAAAUUAUGGCUAGUCAAGUACACCCUACACAUGCACAUCUAAGAGUAUAUAGCAGCGGAAAGUAAAACAUGCAAGUGUAAAAUAAGCAAGGGUAGGGAGAUCAAACGCAUGAGAUUGACAUGGCAAUUUUUGGCAUGGUUCCGAUAGGUGGCGCUAUCAUACAUCCAUGUUAGUGGAUACUUCAAUCCACAGAGGAUAACGGUUGUGAGAAUCCACGGAGGGAUCCACGCACAAGGGGUCCACGAAGAAACGACCUUGUCUAUUCCACCACGGCUUCCGUCCACAUAGGACUAGCCUCACUCAGGGUAGAUCUUCACGAAGUAGGAAAUCUCCUUGCCCCUACAAACAUCUUGGUUCAACUCCACAACACGAAGUAGGAGGCUCCCAAGCGACACCUAACCAAUCUAGGAGGCACCACCCUCCAAAAGGUAAUAGAUGUGGUAGAACAAUGAACUCCUUGCUCUUAUGCUUCUAAAGAUAGUCUCCUCAACAGUCAAUCACUCUCACAAGGAUUUGGCAUGGGUAGGAGAUAUUGAUCUUGUGGAAAGCAACUCGGGUGAGGCUAUAAAUCAAGGUUCAAAUGGUUGGAAUGGAAUCUCUUGAUCUCAACACAUGAGUAGGUGGCUCUCUCUUAGAAAAAUGAAUCUGGCAAUGAAGUGUGUGUUCUGAAUGCUUCCUCUGUGGGUGACAGGUAGGUGGAGGGGUAUAUAUAGGGAAGACACAAAAUCCAACCGUUACACCAUAAUUGGCCAACUCGGUGACACCGAAAUUACAAACUAGAUGGUACCGACUUUCUCAAAAGGUAUCAAGUUUCAAUCUUGAUGGAACCAAUAUACACAACUCGGUGGCACCAAAAAGGUGACUAACGGUCAGAUGACACAAUUCGGUGACACCCAUACUCAAACUUGGAAAUUCCUAUUUUUUCAAUCGAGGUAAUAGAAGGUUGGUCACCUAAACUCGGUAGCAUCGAUGCAGAACCGGUUGUAACGAAAUGGUAUGUUUGGCUAGGGUUUCGUCUGGGAUGAAAAUCGGUAGGGUCGAAUAUGGAAACUUGGUGGCACCGAUUUUGGACAUUUGUCUUUGGACAGAAGUGUUAUGUGGGAGAAUGGGUGAGUAUUUUUGGUGGCUAUCUCUGAGCACUUGCGCAACCAAUUCAUUUAAUACCUCAUCCCCUUUUAAUAGUAUUGGCUUUCCUAUGGACUCAAAUGUGAUUUCUCACAAAGUGUAAAAUGAAGAGUCUUCUAGCUUGAAGCUUGAGCCAAUCUUAUUCCUUCCUUGGGUUAAGGGGCAUCUCCACAUAAACAUUUAGCCAAUGCAUCUUUUGAAAUUUUCUGAUAUAUACUUGGAUAAGAUCAUUAGUCCAAUGAUGCAUGUGUUGUGAUCAAUUAUCAAAACCACCUUAGGGAGCAAUUGUGCUUUCAAUAUCCCCCUUUUUGUUAAUUGCUGACAACAUAUAGAUCAAAGCUUAGAUAAAAGAUAUAAUCAAUGAUUAGCAUCAACGCUUUGAGAAGUAUGUGAAAAGCAAGAGAUCCCCCUAAAUUUGUGCAUUAUUUAUUAUUUGUGUUUGAAUGCAAAUGCACAAUCGAUUAGGAUCAUGGGUCACUCUUCCAUGUCACAUACAACUUGGUGGCGUGCAUACAUGAUAUGAGUGAAUAGUAAUGCACAUAGAACCAGAAGGAUAAGUGAAUGAUCAUGAUGUAGAGAGCUCAAAGAUAAUAACAUGGUAGCAUCAAACAAUCAAAGGGUAUGAUCAAACACACAUCUAAGCAGAUAAUGUCAUCCAAAAGACCAAAUAAAGUUUUGAAAACCAAACGAGAGCAAAUAAAGUCAAAAGCUCUCCCUCUCUCGAAGACGUAUGAUCUAUACACUUCUCCCCCUUUGGAAACAAGUACCAAAAAGUUCAUAGGUCUAAGCUAAGAAUAUCUCUGGGCAUGAUCUCCUCCGGUAGCAGAUGUUGGAGUAUACAAGCGAGCAUCAAGAAGGCUUCGAUUGAUGUCACUAGAGCAUGAGCUGGAGGUGUAGACACUGGAGGUGGUGGAGCAAGAGCUGAAGCUUGAGCUGAUGAAGAUGGUCUAUCUUCUAGUACUCGCGCAGUUGUUGACCUAGUUUGAGUCAAGAAACAUGUGGUAGUACGAAGAGGUGAAUCAUCAUCAUCAUCAUCUCAAUGUGGAAUCUGCACUGAGUCAACUUCAUGUUGAAGUUCUUUGACUGUAGUGGUCAACUUCGUAACCUUCACAUCCAGGUCAUGGAACUUUGUUUCCACGAUCCUCUCUAGGCUCUUCUUGUUCAACAUGAUUUCAGAAAUAUUCUUCUCCAUCCCUUUGAUGGUGUUGACCAAGAACGACAUAUGUUCCUAUCUUGUUUUGAGUUGUGGUGGUGGAGCUGGAGCAUUCUUAGCGAUCUCUGCAGCAGCUGCCUCUGCAGCCUCUCUAGGUGUAGUUGAAUCUGGACGAGUGUCAUCCAUCACAACUUCAUUAUCCUCGAACUCUAGUUGCAGUGGAAAAUGAGGACGAUCAAGCUGAUAUGCAUGCUUGCCAAUCUUGGCAUUGAUGAGCAUCUGAAUAUGUGGUGCAUAUCCGCAAGAUCUCUUUUGAUCAGCAUAUUGAUGGAAUGGCCUCUAAUCAUCUUGUCAUCACCUCAUUGGGGCAUCAAGGUAUGCCUCAAAAUAGAGUUGGUAGUGGUUAUUCCAGCUUGCAAGAAUAGACACACCCAAGCUUGUGAGAUGGCAGGAAGUCAUUUGGCACUGUUUUGUACAUAUUGGCCAUGGAGUUGUGAUUCUUCUUUGGUUCUGAAUACACAUCCAAGUCCUCUGCUCAUGACUUUGGAGCACCAAUGAUAUUAGCCCAUUCUUAAAUUGUGGCUUCAUAUCUAUGGCCAUCAGUUAUCUAGACAAUUGUGCCAUCUGAAUAGAAACGAAUUGUUGAAUAGAAUUGCAUAAUCAUUUCGUCAUUCGAUGGAGUCAUCUGUCUGCCAACAAACUCUUCAAUGUCAACAAGAUUGAAAUUCUCUCUCACGUGAGGAAAGAAAUCUUCAUUGGCAAUGUUAUAUUUCCAGUCAACAUAUGUCAUAUCACUAACUGCUGGACAUUUGUCAUACAAAACUAUCUCAUAAAAGUCUUGUUGUUCUUUUGUAUGAAAUAUGGGAUCAAGUGCAUAUCUUCUCCUUGCAGCAUAUGGAUCAAUAGCUCUCCACUUUCUUAUCCCGACAUCUCUUCUCUUCUCCAUGUCUUCAGCUAUUGGAUGACCUCAAUGUGAAUUGGCAAGUGAGGCCUUAACUUCAUGAGAAUUGGUGCAUUCUCAACAUCUUCCUCUAUAGCAAAGGCAUUGGAGGCAGUGCAUUUCUCUUUAGCAGUUGCAGGAACUUCCUUUGUACUCCUCUUGGAAGCUACAUGCGUCUUUGGAGCUGAAGGAUUUGGAGCAGAAGGCUUCAUAGCAUCUGCCAUAAGCUUCUUUUUCUUCUUUGCGGGAGGGGCCUUAGUUGGUACUUCCUCUUCCUCAGUAGCAGCAGUUUCUACUGGGUCUUCAUACAUGGAAGUCUGUCUACCUAUAACAUGAAUAACUAUCUUUCUGGCUCUCUUCACACCUUUCUUCUUAGGAGGAUUCUCAAGGGUAAGUGUCAUCCCUUGCCUUGCAAAUGCUGGAGCUCUCAUGUCAGAAGGUUUGGAGUACUCCUUCGUGAAAUUUUUCUUGAUAGGAGCCUUGUCUUUCUGCUUUUGAGGAACAGGAGCUUCAGGAACAAAAUAUGAAUCUUCUUCAUCUGAAUUUAGUUUCCUUGUGGUCCUUGUAGCAGCCUUGGGCAAGCUAUUGGAACUGGGGGUACCUGGAUCAGAAUGUGACCUCUUAGGACUGCUGCAUGAAUCCAUAUCAACAAUGUCCUCGGUGAAGUUGUUUUGGCUAUCAUCAGAACCUGACAUCUUCACAAACCAAGCAAACUAGCACACUAGCAAAUCAGCAGACAAGCAACCCUCUGAAAUUGAAGUAGAAGAGUGGAAAGGUUGAGCAUCACAAAACACAUAAGAUUUUUCAAAAAAUUGAACAGAGAAAUCCUUAGUUUUAGCCUUUUGCAGAACAAAUUUUGGUAGCACCGAGUCUAAAUUUUUGGAUUCACCGAGACACAUGAACUUCUUCACAGAGACUUGGCAAUCACUUCGGUGGAACCGAAGGUGAUCACUCAGUAUCACUGAGUCCAUUCUCACGAAACCUGGACUUAAAAUCAGUGGAACCGAGUUAUGCGAUUCGGUGUCAGAAGAUGUCUUCAACGGAUGGCUAACCCUAAAAAUAAUUCGUUCGCUGAUCUACGAGAACUUAUGGUGGAGAAGAGGGUUUGCAGAUGGUGGUUUAUAGAUAAAAUUUUCUAAUGCGCAUGAAUCAGAACAAUGGAGCGCAAGAGAAGAUCGGAAUUGUACCCAAACUUGGCGGCGGUCCGACUACGGCAGCGAUGGCGGUGAAGAUUCCGUCGGCGGUGGCAAAUCCCAACGGUGGAGGUGCUCGGGGAUGCAAAGGCGCUGACCAAGGGCCCUUGCACGGCAGAUUAGGGUUUGGGUCAAAGCGUUUGAAGACGUAAUUUCAGAACGCUCGUCCACCAGGCUUUAUACCCGUCAUUCUCGGUGUCAUCGAGACUAAGAUUUCGGUGCCACCGAGUUCCUCUACUUUUAGUUGACAGGGAAACUCGGUUAAGCCCAGAUGGUGGUUUCGGUGGUACCGAGAUUGAAAACCUGGAUCAACUUUGGAAUUCGGUAGAACCGAGAUUGUGGGGUUGGUUACACUGAGAUUCACAAAGAGGUUUUGGAGUGCACCCUUUGUCGAUACGGAACUCCGAGUGCUCCAUCACAUAGAGGGAUGGAGAAGUGCUUGUUCAAGUUUUGUGAUAAAGCAUGAAUAGAACUUGAGACAAGAAAGCAUAGAUAGCUAGAUAAGGGUCCUAGGCAUUCUUGUCUAUGCAACUGGAAAAAGAUAAAUCAAAUGCCAAAUAGCAACAAUUGGAUAUCCCCGAAUGAGAAAGGAUAUGCAGACCAACAUGCUCACACAAUAAGAUGUCAAAUAUAAUCAUGAUGAACGUGCAUAAACAUCCUAGCAUCUAUCAAGCACUUCGGUGAUGACGAAGUCAUCUAUAUAUGAGUAUAUUGACUUAGGAGUCAAGUAAGAGUACUUGAUCAUAGGUCAUACUUGUCGUUUAAGCAAAAGUGGGGUUACCACUUUUACAUAAAGCAUUAACGUGUUCAUAUAUUUAGGAGAUACUUAUACUCAAGAUUUAGAGUAAAGCCCCCCCCCCCUUGAUAUGACAUCCCCCCUAAGAGGGACAAACUAACCUUGGGUUUUGUCAUAAAAGACUUCAAGUAGGUGAAGUAGUGGUGGAUGCUCAAUGUUGAUGAAGAUCAUCUUGAGUUGGGAGAAAUCCUUUUUGUUUCUUACUCUUCUCACCUACAUGGGUUAGUCCCAAAGGAAAAAUGAACAAACACAAAGAUAUAUAUGGACAUGGAGUGAAACACAUGUGGGAUGAUGUCCAAAGAUACAUCAAUUACCUUGUCCCUUGCUUACCUUUGAGGGAAUGUGUGACUCCUUGAACUAACGCAUAUGUUUGAGGUUGAUUGCAUAUAGUUCUUGCCAAAAUGAAUGGGAGUGAAUUUCAUUGGCGGAGUCACCACUCAAGAACUUCCUAAUUCUUCCUCUUGGGGACUCACAUCACUUUGAUCGGAAUCCUUGGAGUUGUGGUAGCACUAGAUGAGCAGUACUAGAAGUGUCCUUGGGAACCCACUCAACCUCGGAUUGGGGCUCUUCUUCAAAUGAGUCAAUGUCCUCUUGAAGCUUUCCCUUGCCCUUGUGGUCUUGUGGUAGAAUGCCAUCUUGUGAGAUUGCUCCCUUGGGAGGAGUAGGAUACUUCUCCUUUUGAGGAACAAACUUGGGAAUGGGGUAUGGACCUUCCCAAACAUCUCCGUUGACAUUGAAGUAGCCAACACCUUGCUUCUUCCGAUGUCCUUCUUGCUUGCGCACAAUUUCCUCAAAUUGCUUACUUCUGGCAAGACUCUUGAAGACACCUCUCUCUAUAAUCCCUUUCAAUAAAUCAUUUUCUUGCUCAAGUGUAACCUGGCUAAGAGAAUCAUUAGUGGAAUCAAGAGAGCUACUAGCAAGAACAUCAUUUGAUUUAGAUUUAGCAUUGAUGUUACUACAAAAAGAAACUUUCUUGCCAUUGUUACCAGUGUACUUAGGUUUAACUUGUGGGACAAAAUUAGACAGGAGUAGUCGUUUGGCUAGAUAAGAGGAACUCUUCUUCUGAAGAUCAUCAUUGAUUGCUUUUAGGAACUCAUGCUCUUGCUCUAAAUUUAACUUCUCGAAGCGUAGCUUCUCAUGAGUUCUUGCAAGCUCUCUAUGAUCUUCUAGAGUAGUUUCAUGAGCUAACUUAAGAGUAUUUAAUUCUUCAGUUAGUCGUUCAGUUUCUCUAUUAUCAUCAUCAUUUGAUUUCUCUUGACUAGCAUGAUAGUUAGCAAAUUCAUUUUCAGCAUUAUCACUAGUCUUAUCAAGAAGCAAGUCAUCUUCUCCUAACAAGUCAUCCUCGUCAAUAUCAAAGUCAAAGUACUCGGGGCGUGAUACCUUGGGGCCUUUUGCCAUGAAGCAGUUUCCAAUCCCUUCAUUUGGUGAAUCAAAUAUGUUGUAGGAGUUGGAGGAAACAAGUGCAAUGCGGGCAACACCUUAAUCUUGACUGUAGUCAGAGUUGGAGUGAUAGCUUCUCUCGGAUUGGUUGUCAGACUCGGAGCCAGAAACCCAUUCACCAACAUGAUUUUGAUGUCUUCUUCUAGAGGUGCUCUUGGUGUAUUUGUCCUUCUUCUCUGAUUCCUUGCCUCUCUGGGAGUGUCUUCGCUCAUAAUGAUCUUGUCUACUCCUUCUCUCUCUGUGAGGUGACUCAUCUCUUGAGCUUUGUCUUCGAGGUGACUCUUCUCUAUGUUUGUUGGGAGCCGAGCAAUCAUUGGAGUAGUGUCCGGGCUUCGCACAGUUGUAGCAGUUUUGGUCAUGACUGGACGAACGCUUUUCAUCAUGUCUUGAGCUUGAGCUUCUCACUUUGGCUCAACUCUUACAGAACUUGUUGAAUUUCCUGACCAUGAGGCUUAUCUCUUCAUUUAUAACAAGGUUGUCACUUGAAGUAGCGGAGCAUUGAAUGAAGCUUUGUAAGCACCGGUAGACUUGUUGUGCAGCUCAUCUUUGUCUUUGAGAGGCAUUUCAUGAGCAACAAUCCUUCCAAUGACUUUGGUAGGCUUGAGAUCUUUGUAGUUGGGCAUCAUUUGGAUUAAUGUUCACAUGGUGUCGUAUCUUCCAUCCAAAGCUCUAAGUAUCUUCUUGAUGAUGAAUUUGUCGGUCAUCUCUUUGCUCCCCAAGCCGGUAGUAUCAUUUGUGAUGAGAGAUAGCUAGAGUACAUCUCAGUGACUCCUUCAUCAUCCUUCAUCUUGAACUUGUCAAGCUGGCUUUGAAGCACAUCCAACUUAGAUUCUCUGACAGAAUCGGUACCUUCGUGCAUAUCAAUCAAAGUAUCCCAAAUUUCCUUUGCAUUCUCAAGGCAACUGAUUUUGUUGAAUUCUUUGGGGCAUAGGUAGUUGAAUAUGAUGUCAUAGGCUUGUGCAUUCAAUUGCAACAUCUUCAAUUCUUCCGUUGUCACAUCAUGAUCCGGUUCUCUCCCUUCUCCAGAUAAAUCACAGUGCACACCAACAUGAACAAUGCCCCAUACGGCAGGAUUAUAACCAAGAAGAUGCAUUUUCAUCUUAUGCUUCCAACUAGCAAAAUUAGUGCCAUCAAAAUAUGGACCUCUAGGGUGAUAACUUCCCUCACUAGAUGCCAUACUCUCCUAUGUUGUGAAAGCAAUGCAAUGGAGAUCAAAUCUCUGAUACCACUUGUAGGAUCGAAAGAAUGUCUAGAGGGGGCUGAUUAGACUACUUGACAAGAUAAAAACUUAGCAUUUUCCCAAUUUUUAAAGUAGGCCAAUUUUAGCAAUUAUGACUAGUCAAGUACACCCUACACAUGCACAUCUAAGAGUAUAUAGCAGCGGAAAGUAAACACAUGCAAGUGUAAAGUAAGGAAGGGUAGGGAGAUCAAACGCAUGAGGUUGACACGACAAUUUUUGGCAUGGUUCCGAUAGGUGGCGCUAUCGUAUGUCCAUGUUACUGGAGACUUCAACCAAUAGAGGUUAACGACUACGAGAGUUCAUGGAGGGAUCCACCCACAAGGGGUCCAGAAAGAAGCGACCUUGUCUAUUCCACCACGGCUUCCGUCCACAUAGGACUGGCCUCACUCAGGGUAGAUCUUCAGGAAGUAGGCGAUCUCCUUGCCCUUACAAACAUCUUGGUUCAACUCCACAACACGAAGUAGGAGGCUCCCAAGCGACACCUAACCAAUCUAGGAGGCACCACCCUCCGAAAGAUUAUAGAUGUGGUAGGACGAUGAACUCCUUGCUCUUGUGCUUCUAAAGAUAGUCUCCUCAACACUCAAUCACUCUCUCAUAGAUUUGGCAUGGGUAGGAGAGAUUGAUCUAGUGGAAAGCAACUUGGGGAGGCUAGAAAUCAAGAUUCAAAUGGUAGGAAUGGAAUCUCUUGAUCUCAACACAUGAGUAGGUGGCUCUAUAUUAGAAAAAUGAAUCUCGCAAUGAAGUGUGUGUUCUGAAUGCUUCCUCUGCGGGUGAGAGGUAGGUGGAGGGGUAUAUAUAGGCAACACACAAAAUCCAACCGUUACACCAUAAUUUACCAACUUGUUGACACCGAAGUUACAAACUUGAUGGUACCGACUUGCUCAAAAGGUAGCAACUUUGAAUCUCGAUGGAACCUAUAUACACAACUCGGCGGCCUCGAACAGGUGACUAACGGUCAGAUGACACAACUGGUGACACCGAUACUAAAACUCGGAAAUUCUGAUUUUGUGUAUCGAUGCAACAGAAGGUUGGUCACCUAAACUCGGUAGCAUCGAUGCAGAAUCGGUUGUACCAAAAUGGUAGGCUUGCCUAGGGUUCUGUCUCGGAUGAAAAUCGGCAGGGCCGAAUAUGGAAACUUGGUGGCACCAAUUUUCGACAUUUGGGUUAGGACAGAAGUGUUAUGUGGGAGAAUGGUGAGUAUUUUUGGUGGCUAUCUCUGAGCACUUGAGUAACCAAUUCAUUUUAAUACCUCAUCCCCUUUUAAUAAUGUUGGCUUUCCUAUGGACUCAAAUGUGAUUUCUCACAAAGUGUAAAAUGAAGAGUCUUCUUGCUUGAAGCUUGAGCCAAUCUUAUUCCUUCCUUGUGUCAAGGGGCAUAUCCACAUAAACAUUUAGCCAAUGCAUCUUUUGAAUUUUUUUUGAAAUAUACUUGGAUAUGAUCAUUAGUCCAAUGAUGCAUAUGUUGUGAUCAAUUAUCAAAACCGCCUUAGGGGGAAAUUGUGCUUUCAACAUCAUGUGUCCCGAGGGUCUGCCCCUAUGGUGAGGGGUGGCUGCCUCCUGACGCUGGUGGCUCCUCGGGCUUCAUGAGCCCGCGUGGUUUCGAGGCCUCGCGAGCAGCGUGUGACCCACGCCCCUUGUAGCUUGUCGAUCUCUUAAGAGGCAAACUCUCGUGCCUUUGGAGCUUGACGCAACUCUCCCGGCUCGUGGGGGAAAAUUCCAUGGCGUGCCUCCAUGGGGUCCCAUGGCACCCCGUCGUCACAUCGUCCAAGCCACACGGCUCCAAGCAGGAGCCCCCGAGCCCAGCCUAACGAGGGUGCCCUGCGCGGCCUCCUACGCCGGAGGGAGGCAGGCAUCGGCUUGGAGCGGGAGGCCCAUGGUAACAGCGUCUUUCGCGACACCCUUCCCCUGGGGGGUGUGGUCGUGGCGGCAGGGUGGCACCGUCCUAGGGGUGUGCGCCGCAAGGCCACCUAUGUCGAGUGUGUUCUUGAGGCAGAUUGCUUCUGUUGUUGCUAUAGGGUUGGUCGCACCGAAUAUGGUGAAGGUGUUCAUCAGGGUUGGCGAUGCGCUCACCUUCACUCUCGGCAAUGUUGGCGAUGCGCUUCUGGCGCCGAAUGGCAAGCUCACUGCGGGGAGUCCCGAUCGACUGGCUACCCUGUGUGUUAUGAGUGCACGCUUGUGGUGGGCGCAGAACAUCACGUUGACUCUUUCGGGCGCAUCGCCGCACGGGCCCGGUAGUGGCCCAAACCCAAUCACCGGGACCCGGAGAAGCAGGAGCACGGCGCGAGGUGGACCUUGCUCGGGCCCCUCAGGUUGUGGACCAAGCGAGUCGUCAUCCGAUGGUGGAGGCGGCUCGCUGGAUGAGCCCCCCGCUUCUGGCGCAACGGGUCGAAGUAGGACGUAGGGUGCCAGGGCCCUCCUGGCGACAGUGACGAGCUCGGUGAUGUGGUGUGCCCAGGAGUCCUAUCCCCCGUCCAUUGGGCGGUGGCGGAGCAGCUCACUUUCCACGAGCAGCGCGCCCUGAGCAUUCUGGUCUCCCACGUGGACAUGGGCCGAGGCACACGCCGCGGGGGACGCGGUGGAGGUCCACCUUGGCGCACUGGGGGCCGCGAGGAGCCCCAUUGCUUGUGCAAGGUGCGAGCGACGACGGUGGUGGCUGCGACGAUGGUGGGUCGGUGAUGGCUGCCCAGCGCCGAGCGUUUGGGGCACGUGCGACGAGCGUCGACCAUGGGGUGAGUGAGGCUGGAGACGAAACUGGAGCACGAGGAUGGCUGCGCACCCCUACCUGGUGCGCCAAAUGUCGGAAUCGGGGUUCCGCAGACCCAACAAGGUUCGAACUCUGGGGUGAGCUCGCACUCCUACCCAGUUCUACCUCUCAAUUUCACUGCGACUCUCCGAUGGCUCGAGCUAAGGAAAGAAAACAAGAACAUAGGAGCAGUUUACCCAAGUUCAGGCCACCUUGCGGUGUAAAACAAUACUCCUACUUGUCUAGACUGUUUGAGGUGGAAGACGAGUAGAAAGGCCAGUUCUUUCUCUAAUGGAGACAAUGGAUGGAUCAUUUGCUACGGAGACCGGGCAUCUCUCUUAUACUAGCCUUGGUCCUCUUCUCGAGAAACACUUGGCAGGAAGGGUCGCCACAACGGCCAUUUUAAAACGGGACAGGAUUGUGGUCCAUGCUACGGCAACAAAAGUCCUUCCCCGGCAACGGCGCAAGAAAUUCUUCUGCUACGGCAACAAAAGUCCUUCCCCGGCAACGCUAGGAUUUCUUCUUGCUACUUCUCUUGCUUGCAUCGAUUUUUCCCUUGAAGAGGAAGGGGUGAUGCAGCAUAGGAGCAGUAAGUAUUUCCCUCAGUUUGAGAACCAAGGUAUCAAUCCAGUAGGAGAAUCUCGUCAAGUCCAGAGUACCUGCACAAACACAAAGCGCUUGCACCCAACGCUAUAAAGGGGUUGCCAAUCCCUUCAAGAUUGAUUGCAAAGUGAGAUCUGACGACGGAAAGUGCAACGAAGAAAAAGUGUAAGGCUGAAAAUAUGGUGUGGAGUAGACCCGGGGGCCAUAGUGUUCACUAGAGGCUUCUCUCAAAAUAGCAAAUAUUACGGUGGGUGAACAAAUUACUGUCGAGCAAUUGAUAGAACCGCGCAAAGUCAUGACGAUAUCUAAGGCAAUCAUCAUACAUAUAGGCAUCACGUCUGAGACAAGUAGACCGAUACUUUCUACAUCUACUACUAUUACUCCACACAUCGACCGCUAUCCAUCAUGCAUCUAGUGUAUUGAGUUCAUGACGAACAGAGUAACGCCUUAAGAAAGAUGACAUGAUGUUGAUGGAUAAUCUCAAACCAAUGAUGAAAACCCCAUCUUUUUACCCUUGAUGGCAACAACAUGAUGCGUGCCUCGCUACCCCUUCUGUCACUGGGUGAGGUCACCGCACGGUACGAACCCAAAACCAAGCACUUCUCCCAUUGCAAGAAUCAUAGAUCUAGUUGGCCAGACAAAACCCACAACUCGAAGAGAAUUACAAGGAUAUGAAAUCAUGCAUAAGAGAGAUCAGAAGAAACUCAAAUAAGAUUCAUAGAUAAUCUGAUCAUAAAUCCACAAUUCANNNNNNNNNNNNNNNNNNNNNNNNNNNNNNNNNNNNNNNNNNNNNNNNNNNNNNNNNNNNNNNNNNNNNNNNNNNNNNNNNNNNNNNNNNNNNNNNNNNNNNNNNNNNNNNNNNNNNNNNNNNNNNNNNNNNCCCCCCCCCCCGAUACUAUCCAUAAUUUCAUCAAAACAAGCAACCAACUCAACAAAAACAUAAUCUCUCAAAAACAGACCAGGCUGUAGCAAUCGGUAUACUUCGUAUACUUUUGGUACCUCAAAAAUUCUGAAAAUUUACGACUGUCUGGGCAAAAGGCAUAUCAACCAGCAGCAAAAUAAAUCAACUCAAAAGAUCUUUCUGAAUAAAAAUGAACAAUCAUCUCGUGAGCGAAAAGUUUCUGUCUUUUUCCAGCAGGAUCAAACAACCAUCACCAAGACUAGUCAUAAAGGUUUUGCUUGGCUCAAACACAAAAAGAAACACAAAAAACACAAUCACAACAGAAUUAUGAUGGUGUGGACGCAACAAAAUAGAAAGAAAAAGAUAAAUUCAUUGGGUUGCCUCCCAACAAGCAUUAUUGUUUAACGCCCUUAGCUAGGCAUAAAAGCGAUAGAAUCACGCAUCGUCGUCUUUGGUGCUCAAACCAUAAGUGGCCCUCAUCAUGGAUUCAUAAGGCAAUCUUAUUUUCUUUCUAGGAAAGUUCUCCUUGCCCUUCUUUAAAGGAAAUUGAAAUCUAAUAUUCCCUUCUUUCAUAUCGAUGAUAGCACCGAUAGUCCUUAGGAAAGGUCUACCAAGAAUAAUACGGCAUGUAGGAUUGCAAUCAAUGUCAAGCACAUUGAAAUCCACGGGUACAUAGUUCCUAUUUGCAAUAAUAAGAACAUCAUUGAUCCUUCCCAUGGGUUUCUUGACAGUAGAAUCCGCAAGAUGCAAAUUAAGAGAACACUCUUCAAUCUCAUUAAAACAGAGAACAUCACAUAAAGACUUUGGAAUUGCGGAAAUACUAGCACCCAAAUCACACAAAGCAUUGCAUUCAUAGUUUUUGAUUUAGAUUUUGAUAGUAGGUUCCCACUCAUCAUGAAGCUUUCAAGGGAUAGAGACUUCCAAUUCAAGUUUCUCUUCAAGAGAUUUUAUCAUGGCUUCGACGAUAUGAUCGGUAAAGGCCUUGUUUCGGCUAUAAGCGUGUGGAGAGUUUAACAUGGAUUGCAUCAAGGAAACGCAUUCAAUCAAGGAGCAACUAUCAUAAUUGAAUUCCUUGAAAUCUAAGGUAAUAAUUUCAUUACUACUCAAAGUUUUGAUAUCUUCUACUCCACUUUCAAUGCUUUUAGCAUCAAGAUAGAUGGACUCUGAAUCAUUGGGGCACUUUUCGACCAAUGUGGAUUUAUAUCCAGACCCAUCAUCAUUAGGUUUGACACAAGAAAAUAAAGAUUCAAUGGGAGUCACGCCAAGCACUUUAAGAUCUUUGUGAUUCUUAUCACGAGAACACGCCUUUUUAAGCCAUUCAUGUCUAGCAUGAAUUUGGGUGGUUCUUUCUUUGCUCUCAAUCAUGGAAACACGCAUAGCUUUCAAAGUUUCAUCCAUAUUGAUCUUGGGAGGAGCACUUCUAACUUUCAAAGCAUCAACAUCACUAGACAUUCUAUCAACGCUCUUAGCCAAAUCGUCAAUUUUGAGUAGUUUUUCCUCUAUGGACGCAUUGAAAAAAAAUUGUGAGUUGAUAAACUCUUUGAUAUUACUCUCUAGAUCAGAGGGUAAGCUAUUGUAAUUUCCAUGAGUAUUGUUGUAGGAGUUGCCAAAGUUAUUAGAGGAGUUACUAGGAAAAGGCCUAGGAACAUAGUUCCCUCUAAAAGCAUUGUUGUUGCCAAAACUAUUCCUACCGACAAAAUUAACGUCCAAGCUAGCGUUGCUACUCUCAAUCCAAGAAGACAAGGGCAUAUCAUUAGGAUCUAAAGGAGCACUUCUAUUAGCAACCAAAUUCAUUAACUCAUCCAUCUUAGCACUCAACGAGUUAAUUUCUUCUAUAGCGUGUACCUUCUUACUAGUAGGUGACCUUUCAGUGUGCCAUAGAGAGUAGUUCGUCAUGAUAUUGUCUAGGAGCUUUGUGGCUUCCCCUAAUGUGAUUUCCAUGAACAUUCCACCUGAGGCAGAGUCCAAGAUAUUUCUAAAGCGAAAUUCAAGCCAGCGUAAAAGAUUUGUAUAAUCAUCCAAAGACUCAAGCCAUGAGCGGGACAAUUUCUAAUCAUCAAUUUCAUUCUCUCCCAAGAUUGUGCAACAUGUUCAUGAUCAAGUUGCUUAAAAUUCAUGAUAUCAGUACGGAGAGAGAUAAUCUUAGCCGGCGGAAAAUACUUGGAUAUAUAAGCAUCUUUGCACUUAUCCCAAGAAUCGAUACUAUUUUUGGGCAAAGACGAAAACCAACUUCUUGCUUGAUCUUGCAACGAGAAAGGAAAAAGCUUCAAUUUAAUCACAUCAUUAUCCACAUCUUUCUUCUUUUGCAUACCGCAAAGCUCAGUGAAGGUAUUGAGAUGGGAUGUGGCAUCUUCACUAGGAAGGCCAGAGAAUUUCUCUUUCAUAACAAGAUUCAGCAAAGCGGCAUUGAUUUCGUAUGACUCCGCACUAGUGGGGGAGCAAUCGGAGUACUAAUAAAAUCAUUAUUAUUAGUAUUCGAGAAGUCAGAAAGUUUGGUGUUUUCAUUCAUGGUGACUUCAGCAAGCAAGCAAGCACACAAGCGAACAAAGAGCAAGCGAGAAAAAGGGCGAACGAAAAAGGAAAACAAAAAAGGCAAAUUGUGAAGUGGGGGAGAGGAAAACGAGAGGCAACUUGCAAACAAAGUAAAUGCAAGAGAUGAGUUUGCGACACUUACUUGGAUGAGUUCUUGACUUGAUCCUCCCCGGAAACGGCGCCAGAAAUUCUUCUGCUACACCAACAAAAGUCCUUCCCCGGCAACGGCGCCAGAAAUUCUUCUGCUACGGCAACAAAAGUCCUUCCCCGACAAUGCCAGGAAUUCUUCUUGCUACUUCUCUUGCUUGCGUCGGUUUUUCACUUGAAGAGGAAAUGGUGAUGCAGCACAGGAGCGGUAAGUAUUUCCCUCAGUUUGAGAACCAAGGUAUCAAUCCAGUAGGAUAAUCUCUUCAAGUCCAGAGUACCUGCACAAACACAAAGAGCUUGCACCCAACAAUAUAAAGGGCUUGUCAAUCCCUUCAAGAUUGAUUGCAAAGUGAGAUCUGAAGAUGGAAAGUGCAACGAAGAAAAAGUGUAAGGCUGGAAAUAUGGUGUGGAGUAGACCCGGGGGCCAUAGUGUUCACUAGAGGCUUCUCUCAAAAUAGCAAAUAUUACGGUGGGUGAACAAAUUACUGUCGAGCAAUUGAUAGAACCGCGCAAAGUCAUGACGAUAUCUAAGGCAAUGAUCAUACAUAUAGGCAUCACGUCCGAGACAAGUAGACCGAUACUUUCUGCAUCUACUACUAUUACUCCACACAUCGACCGUUAUCCAGGAUUCAUCUAGUGUAUUGAGUUCAUGACGAACAGAGUAACACCUUAAGCAAGAUGACAUGAUGUAGAGGGAUAAUCUCAAACCAAUGAUGAAAACCACAUCUUUUUACCCUUGAUGGCAACAACACGAUGCGUGCCUCGCUACCCCUUCUGUCACUGGGUGAGGUCACCGCAUGGUAUGAACCGAAAACCAAGCACUUCUCCCAUUGCAAGAAUCAUAGAUCUAGUUGGCUAGACAAAACCCACAACUCGAAGAGAAUUACAAGGAUAUGAAAUCAUGCAUAAGAGAGAUCAGAAGAAACUCAAAUAAGAUUCAUAGAUAAUCUGAUCAUAAAUCCACAAUUCAUCGGAUCUCGACAAACACACCGUAAAAGAAGAUUACAUCAGAUAGAUCUCCAUGAAGAUCAUGGAGAACUUUGUAUUGAAGAUCCAAGAGAGAGAAGAAGCCAUCUAGCUACUAGCUAUGUACCCGUAGGUCUAUGGUGAACUACUCACGCAUCAUUGGAGAGGUCAUGGUGUUGAUGAAGAAGCCCUCCGUAUCUGAAUCCCCCCUCCGGCAGGGCACCAGAACAUGCCCCAGAUGGGAUCUUGCGGAGACAGAAGCUUCCGGCGGCGGAAAAGUACUUUCGAUGAUCUCCUGAUUUUUUUUAUAGGAUUUUAGGGAAUAUAUAGGCGCAAAACCUAGGUCGGAGGUGGCCCAGGGAGCCCACAAGCCAGGGAGGCGCAGGCCCCCCUGGUCGCGGCUAGGGGGCUUGUGGGGUCCCUGUAGGCCCCCUACCCUGAUUCUUCGGCUUCCCGAUCUUUUUCUCUUUCGGAAAAAAUCUUUUUGGCAGUUUCAUUCCGUUUGGACUCCGUUCAAAAUCCUCCUCUGAAAGGGUCAAAAACAUGGAAAAAAUAGGAACUGGCACUUGGCACUGAGUUAAUAAGUUAGUCCCAAAAAAAAUAUAAAAGGCAUGCAAAACAUCCAAAGUUUGACAUGAUAAUAGCAUGAAACCAUCAAAAAUUAUAGAUACAUUGGAGACGUAUGAGUCCACCCUGACAAAAGUGGUCGGGUGCCAAAGUUCCACGUCAUGAUGCGCAGGUGGGCUCGGGGGUGACCUUCAUCCUGUCUUGCCCCCAGUCUGGGCCCUCUUGCACCAAACAUGAAACCUUUGGGGGUUUCUUUGGGAGUCUGCCAGCUGGCCCCGCAUCCUUAGCACAAAAGUGGAGAGCCCUCUUGUCCAUGCAUGCUCGCACCGCUCCUAUGCCGCUUGCGCAGCCUCCAUCAUCCACAUGAAGGCACGGGAUCAUGAGACCCUACCAGGUCGCCCUUGACGAGCCUGUCGUACGAGAGCCCCAGGUGUGGCCUCAGGACGCGUCCUUGUAUUCGGCAACCUCUCGUGGUCCUUGGCGAUGAUCCUUAGGUGCUCGCCUCACGCGGCGAGGGCCCUUGUGAGGGUCUUCCUUGUUCGGCUUGCCGAUGGGCCGAGCCCGGCUUGUGCAACGUGUCGAUCCUGGGGCCUCACGCCGAUGGGCCUCGGUACCCCCGGUCCAAGGGACCCGACAGCUGAAACCCACUUGUCAUUUCCUUCUGAUCCUCGUUGGGUUUGACACUCUUACUUAUCGAAAGGACUACGAUUGAUCCCCUAUACUUUUGGGUCAUCAAUGGGGCUUAUAGCGUUGGAAUUAGGUCAGCCGGGGCCGCGAGAGACCCAUAAGCUCAGAGAGUGUGCCCUAGGGGCGCCCUCUAGGCUCGUGAUCCCUCGGUGGCCCCUCCGGUAGAUCUUGACGUCAGUAUUUUUUAUUAAUUCCAAAAAUAUUCUCUCAAAAGUUUCAACUCAAUCCGAGAACUUUUAUUUCUACACAAAAACAACACCAUGGUAGUUCUACUAAAAACAACGCCAUUCCCCGUUAGUUUCGUUCAAAUCAUCCAAAUUAGAGUCCAAAACAGGAGCAAAAGUGUUUGGAAAAGUAGAUAUGUUUGGUACGUAUCAAAAUGUCUCCAUGAAUUCCUCAAACUUAGCCUUCUUCUUGUUGACGACUUUGAGGGACGUCAACUUAUCAUCAUCCACAUCCUUGCAAUGGAGAAGAACGAGUGAAAGUGCCAUGUCGGCUCCACAACGCGUCGCAGACUUCUUCCACGUGUGCACCAAGCUAAGAAUGUCGUCUAGUCGAGACAUGAGAGACUCCAAAUCAUUUUGGAGCUCCUCCUCUAGUGGAAACUCCUUGUCGAUUCUCCCCAUGACAAACUUUUGGCGUGUUAUAUACCCGAGGACGAUGUUGAUGCACUCAUUUAGUCGAAGGGUAUUAAUGGCAACAUUGUCUUGGAGCAACAUUGGGGAAGGAUCCAGGUCCUUCUUGAUCCUCUCGAUCUAUAUAUUGAUAUCAAGGCAGAACUAUAGUGACAAGAGCAUGGUUAAGAUGAACAACUACUGAAACCCUAAAAUAAAAAUGUUUCAUUCGACCAAGCAUUGCACCUUCAAACUUCAUGUUCAUAUCCACGCCAAAGUCUUCAACAUACUGCUCCAGCUCGGCCUUCUUCUUUAGCAACUCGGUGAUUUGCACGCCUAGUUUAUUCUUCUCCUUUUCAAAGCCACUCACUUGGGUAUUGCACCACGACUCCCACUUAGUGAAAUGUGUGUUGAGCCCAAAGAUCUUAGAUUGUGCCACCUUAGCGGCAACCUUUAGGACCUUGUUCUCCUCUUCAAACUUCCCGACCGACUUCAACUUGUCUUCAGCUUCCUUGGUUUGGGCCUUGGCGUUCUUCCAUGUUACCGCGAGUUUGUUGUCCUUGUCUUCGAGGGCUUGCUUCAUGGUUCCUAAAUAAAUAGCGGUCGUGAGCCUCUUUACAAGUUGGUUGUUCUCACUAUGAACAUCUGCUAAAGCGAGUUCAAUCGAAUCAAAGACGAGGCAAAUAUUGGAAAACAGUGGGAUGACGCAAUCUACCUCGGAGAGCGAGCUUUUCUUGGGUGGGGCGUUCACUCUUAUGCUUUUGAGCAUCCAAUUCCGUCUGGAUCUGCCACACCUCCUUCUCUAGGGCGGCGUAGUGAGUACCAAGUUCACAAGGUUUCGUUACAAGAUGAAAAAGUGAUAGUCAGUCGGAUUCAAAUCAAUGCAAGCCUACGACCACUAAGACUUCUCAAGCCCAAACUCUAAUUCAUGAGUAUUUCAUAGUCAGAAGCUUUUCACACUUAAAAACUACCAAGGCUGCUCAAGCCUAGGCCCUGGUUCACGAGUAGUUCAUAGCAAGAAGCUUUUCGCACUUAAAAACUACCAAGGCUGCUCAACCCUAGACUCUUAUUCAUGAGUAGUUCAUACUCAUAAGCUUUCCGCACUUAAAACAUCCACUCAGCCAACCGUGUGGAGGAUGGCACUCUGAAUGCCAAAGAUAUAAAGAGUCUAGUUCUAAGACUCCCACCGACUCCUUCCAAUCAACGGUAGCAUCGAAGACUACACCCAGUGGAUGCCCACUGCAUUUUCCCACUAGAAUAAACUAGCUCAGGUCGGUACCGGCCGGGCUAAGUGGAAAACAGGCUCAAAGAAAUUCUAAGCCUCCCGCCAACUGCUUUGAGUCAAUGAUAGUCUCAGGGACUACAACUAGUGUGUGCACUUAGCGUGCUGAUACGUCUCCAUCGUAUCUACUUUUCCAUACUCUUUUGCCCUUGUUUUGGACUCUAAUUUGCAUGAUUUGAAUGGAACUAACCCGGACUAACGUUGUUUUUUGCAGAAUUGCCAUGGUGUUGUUUUUGCGCAGAAAUAAAAGUUCUCGGAAUGGCUUGGAAAUUUACGAGGAUUUUUUUGGAAUGUAUAAAAAUAGUGGCACAAGAAUCACCGGAGACAUGGAGCGAGGAGCCCACCAGCCCAGGAGGCGCCCCCCUGGCCGCGCCUAGCAGGCUUGUGGGGCCCUCGGGGCUCCGUCGCCUCCAACUCCAGCUCUAUUUAGUCCCUUUCGUUCGGAAAAAAAUCAAGGAGAAGAGUUCAUUCCGUUUUACGAUAUGGAGGCGCCGCCACCACCUGUUCUUCCUCUAGAGGGCAGAUCUGGAGUCCGUUCUGGGCUCCGGAGAGGGGAGAUCGUCGCCAUCGUCAUCACCAACCUUCCUUCAUCGCCAAUUCCAUGAUGCUAUUCAUUGUUCGUGAGUAAUCUCAUCGUAGGCUUGCUGGACGGUGAUGAGUUGGAUGAGAUCUAUCAUGUAAUCGAGUUAGUUUUGAUGGGGAUUGAUCCCUAGUAUCCACUAUGUUCUGAGAUUGAUGUUGCUACUACUUUGCCAUGCUUAAUUCUUGUCACUAGGGCCCGAGUGCCAUGAUUUCAGAUCUGAACCUAUUAUGUUCUCGUCAAUAUAUGUGUGUUCUUGAUCCUAUCUUUUAAGUUGUAGUCACCUACUAUGUGUUAUGACCCGGCAACCCAGAGUGACAAUAGCCAGAACCACUCCCGGAGAUGACCAUAGUAUGAGGAGUUCAUGUAUUCACUAAGUGCUAAUGCUUUGUUCCUAUUCUCUUUUAAAAGGAGAACCUUAACAUCUCGUAGUUUCCAUUAGGACCCCGCUGCCAUGGGAGGGAUGGACAAUAGAUGUCAUGCAAGUUCUUUUCAUAAACACGUAUGACUAUAUACGGAAUGCAUGCCUACAUUACAUUGACGAACUGGAGCUAGUUACUUAUCUCCCCAUGUUAUAAUUGUUACAUGCUGAACGUCAUCCGGCAUAAUUAUCCAUCACCGAUCCAAUGCCUACGAGUGUUUCCUACUGGUCCUUGCUACGUUACUUUGUCGCUAUCGCACUACUCUGUUACUGAAACUUUGCUGCAGAUACUAAGUCCUUCAGGUGUGGUUGAAUUGACAACUCAACCGCUAAUACUCGAGAAUAUUCUUUUGCUUCCCUUUGUGUCGAAUCAACAAAUUUGGGUUGAAUACUCUACCCUCGAAAACUGUUGUGAUCCCCUAUACUUGUGGGUUAUCAAGACUAUUUUCUGGCGCCGUUGCCGGGGAGGCCUAGCACUAUUCUCUGAGUCACUUGGGAUUUACGUCUUUUGAUCACUAUGAGGAAUCCGAAAGAUCCAAAAACUAAAGUCUUGCCCUCAACUACGAGGACAGGUAAGGAACUGCCAUCUAGCUCUGCACUUGAUUCACCUUCAAUUAUGAGUAAGUUUGUGACACCACCUCCUCCUAGAAAUUCUGAUAUGUCGCAUGUCCUUGAUGAUGCUACUUCUUCUAUCCAUGAUGCUUGUGAUGAUGCUUUGCUUGAUACUGCUUUGCCACUAGGUGCAUUCCUUGAUGCACAAAUUGCUAGAGUUGCUGCUGAAUGUGAUGAUACUUCUGAAACUGUUGAGAUUAUUGAAGUAGAACCUGCUAUUUCCCCUGUUAGAACUAGCUCCCCUAGAUAUGAAUUGCCUGAUAUACCUGAGAGUUAUGUUAUGGAGGGAGAGAUAGCUGACGACUUUCUUGCUUGUAAGGAUAGCUAUGACCUUGAGAAAUUACUGCGCAAGUGGAAAGAAAAAUCUUUGAACGCUAGGAUGAAAUACGGCCCGAAGUUUGCUACUUCGCCUGUCUUUGUGACCGAUAAGGAUUAUGAAUUCUCUGUCGACCCUGAGUUAAUCACUUUGGUCGAAUCUGAUCCUUUUCAUGGAGUCUGAAACGGUUGUAGCACAUCUUACUAAGCUGCACGAUAUAGCCACCAUAUUCACGAGUGAGGAAAAGAUCCGCCACUACUAUAUCCUUAAGCUGUUUCCCUUCUCGCUAAAGGAUGAUGCUAAGAGUUGGUUCACUUAUCUUGCUCCUGGUUGUGUGUGUAGUCCCCACGAUAUGAUCUACUACUUCUCUGAGAAAUAUUUUCCUGCCCAUAAGAAACAAGCUGCCUUGCAGGAUAUAUAUAACUUUGUGCAAGUUGAAGAAGAGAGUCUCCCACAAGCUUGGGGGAGGCUUGUCCAGCUGUUGAAUGCUUUGCCUGAUCACCCUCUUGAGAAGAAUAAAAUACUUGAUAUCUUCUAUAAUGGACUAACCGAUGCCUCUAGGGUCCACCUAGAUAGUUGUGCUGGUUGUGUUUUCAGGGAACGAACUGUGGAACAAGCUGAGAUUCUAUUGAAUAAUAUUUGUGCAAUGAGAAUGCUUGGACUAUUCCCGAACCACCUCCAAAGCCAACUCCGAAGAAAAGAGGUAUCCUAUUCCUCAGUCCUGAAGAUAUGCAAGAAGCUAAGAAAUCUAUGCGAAAGAAAGGCAUCAAAUCUGAAGAUGUCAAGAAUCUACCACCUAUCGAAGAGAUCCAUGGUCUUGAUAACCCGACACAGGUAGUAGAGGUAAAUUCUCUUCGUAGAUUCAAUGAGAAUGAUAUUUCUUUUGAUAAACCUGCUAGCUUAUGCUUAGAUGAAUUUGAUAACUUUGUUGCCAAACAACAAAGUUUCAAUGAUUAUGUUAGCAGACAAUUGGAACAGAAUGCUCGUAUGCUUAGUCAUUUAAGUGCUUGUGUGGAUAGAAAUGUCAAUGGCCUUAAGCUUUUGAGUAAACAUGCCUCUAUGGUCACUACUGAGGUAGAACAAGUACUUAAGGCUCAAAAUGACUUGCUCAAUGAGCUGAAUGACAAGUCUGUUAGAGUUAUCACUAGAGGUGAUAGAAUGACCCAGGAACCUUUGUAUCCUGAGGGUCAUCCUAAGAGAAUUGAACAAGAUUCUCAAGGAGUUAGCACCGAGGCACCUAGUCAUCCUAGGAAGAAAAAGAAAGAUGAUAGGAACUUGCAUGCUAGCAACCCCGUUGCUGUUACACCCGAGAAUACAAAUGAUGUCUCUGUUUCUGAUGCUGAAACACAAUCUGGUGAUGAACAUGAGCCUAAUGAUAAUAUCGAUAGUGAUGUUCAUGAAGAUGCUCAACCUAGCAAUGAUAAGGAUGUGGAGAUUGAACCAGUUGAUCUUGAUAACCCACAACCUAAGAAUAGGAGAUACGAUAAGAACGACUUCACUGCUAGGAAGCAUGGUAAAGAAAGGGAACCAUGGGUUCAGAAACCCAUGCCCUUUCCUCCCAAACCAUCCAAGAAAAAGGAUGAUGAGGAUUUUGAGUGCUUUGUUGAAAUUAUUAGACCUGUCUUUCUGCAAAUGCGCCUGACACGUAUGCUCAUGAUGUCUCUGUAUGCUAAGUACAUGAAGGAUAUUGUGACUAAUAAGAGGAGGAUACCUGAGGUUGAGAUUUCCACCAUGCUCGCUAAUUACACCUUCAAGGGUGGAACUCCUAGGAAACUAGGUGAUCCCGGAGUGCCCACUAUACCUUGCUCCAUUAAAGGAAACUACGUUAGAACUGCUUUAUGCGACCUUGGAGCCGGUGUUAGUGUUAUGUCUCUCUCUCUCUCUCUCUCUAUCGUAGACUUGAAUUGGAUAAGUUGACACCCACUAAAAUCUCUUUGCAAAUGGCCGACAAAUCAACUGCUUUCCCUAUCGGCAUUUGCGAGGAUGUGCCUGUUGUGGUUGCUAAUGUUACUAUCUUAACAGACUUUGUUAUUUUGGAUAUUCCCGAGGAUGAUGCCAUGGCGGUCAUUCUUGGAAGACCCUUUUUAAACACUGCAGGGGCUGUUAUUGAUUGCAACAAAGGAAAUGUCACUUUCCAUGUCAAUGGUGAUGAUCAUACGGUGCACUUUCCGAAGAAACAAUAUCGAGUACAUUGCAUGAAUGCUAUUGAAAAAACUUCAUCGAUUCUUAUUGGGACCUUUGAAUGCCCUAUACCUACUGUUAAGAUGAAGUAUGAUUUUCUUGUUGGGGAUAUGCACAUCCCCAUUGAGGUAACUUAGUGACUAUUCGGAAAUUCUCCGGUUUUAUGCGAUUCCAAAAGGUUUGUCAAGGAGACUUGAUCAACCUCAUUGACAGAUUUCUUUUGAUGGCCAUGAUAUGGAUGAAUCUACAACCUCCUGUUUCGAACUUCUAUUUUUUGUUGCUUAGAAGGAAAAUGAUAGACUUAGCUUUAGUUUUUCCUGUUUUCUGCUUUUUGCGUCCCGUAGAAAAGUGUCCCGAAAAUAAAAUUUCUUCAAAUGCCCUGAAAAUCAAGUAUGAUUUUUUCUGGAAUUUUUGAAAAAUUCUAAGAUCGAGAGCUAGUCAGGGGGAUGCACCAGUGGGCCACAAGCCCAGGAGGCGCGGGCACCCCCCGGCCGCGCCUACCAGGCUUGUGGGGCCCACGUUUCCCCCCUCCACUUAUUCCAGCUCCCAUCUCCUUCUCCUACCUCCAGAAAAAUCCAUUCUACAGCUCAAACCCAUGUUCUUGCUCUUCUUGCUGCGAUUUUCGAUCUCCUUGUGCAAAGCCCCAUUCACCAAACUGUUUUGGGGGAAUUGUUCCUUGGUAUGUGACUCCUCCAUUGGUCCAAUUAGUUUUUGCUCUAGUGCUUUAUUCGUUGUGUAUUUUUGCUGCCUUGGUGACCCUGUUCUUGAGCUUUGCAUGCUAAUUUUAGCUGGUCCCAAGUGGUUUUCAUGCAUGAUAUGGCCUCUAGGCACUUGUAGGAGUAGUUGCUAUGAGUUUCGUUGAGCCUUGUUCACUUCUCCCUUGAGUCACUAAAAAUUUCAGAAAAGGAAGAUGUCCAGGAGAAACUAUGAUGGUGGUUCCUCAAGCAAGAGGGGUCCCCGUCUCGCGCUUCGGGAGCCCGAUCCUUACCAACCGAGGAACGCACAGGUACAACCAUGUGAAUGGCCCUCUGAUGAAUUCAUGAUUGAUGCAAGUUUCAAAGACUAGUUUGAUACAUUUGUUCACAACGCCGGGCUCGAAGAAUUCAUCUCCGAUAAAUGUGAACAGUAUACUACCCUCACUGCCUCUUUUGUUCGUAUAUUCAAAUUUUCAGUUGGCUGUGACACAUCCAUACUGUUUGAUCUGUAUAACAAAUCGUAUACCAUGGAUUUAGAGGAUUUCAUUAGAAUUCGCAGGAUACCUGAUUGGGGUAGUGUCACUGAUCCUCCUAAGUCUUCGGUUAGAGAUUUUAUCUCUAGUUAAACUGUCGGAGAAACUAGAGAUAUUACGCAGGCUACCAUGGGGAGCAUUCAUUUUCCCGCCUUGCAUUACUUUGCCCUCUUUAUAGGUAGAUGCAUUAGCUGCAAGAUUGAACAUUGUCACCUCUGCGCAUCUGACCUUAGUAUUCUUAAGAGUGCAGUAACGGGUGAUAGAAGUUUCAACAUGGGAGCUAUAAUAGCGAGGAGGCUAAAUAAUAAUGCUAAUGAAGGGGAUUUAUUUGGUGGGAUCUAUGCCACUCGCAUAGCAAAUUUUCUUGGAGUACCCAUCCGCGGAGGAGAUCCCCCGCUCCAUACAGCUUUCCUUGAUCGCGCCGCUAUGACACGCUAUCAGUUCCUUGAGAAGGAUAAUGCAUCCCUCCUAUACCGGUUAAUAUUUAACCGAGAGCGUGUUUUCCAUAUUACCCUUCCUGCUCCUGCCUUCUUUGACUUUCAGGUAAAACGGAGAUAUUACAUAACCAGAGGAGAGGCAGAGGAGUAUGAGAGGGAGGCAAAGGUUGCUUGCCUCCGUGAGGCAGCUAUUCAGGCGGUAGCUGCCGCGCUCCCGUACAACCCCCAUUAUGAUUUUGGAUAUCGCCCAGACCAGCCACAGGAGUAGACCAACUUAGGCGAAAAGCCUAAGCUUGGGGGAGUACGUGUUUCUCAUCGACUUUAUAUUCUUGCUCACACUUUCACUUUGAUAGUCGGUGGUCACACCUUCCCAUUGUAUCAUCCAUGCUAGUUUAUUUAUUUUUCUCGCUUUCUUCUCGUGUGUUUGUUUAGAUUGAGAAAACCCAAAAAUAUUUCCCGUUCUUCUUUUGUUUGUUGGGAGCUUUCCCGUGUAAAUAGUUUUCUUUUUCUUUAGGUCAAGGUAGAAGACCAUGGUUACAAAGUUUAGUGGCUCUCGCAUGCAUAUCUAUUUAUCUGUCAAAGAGCCAUAUUACUUUGUCUUCUCCUUUGUAUUUGUUUGCAGAUUCUAGCUUAGUCCAAUGCACGAACACUCUUAUUAUUGUUCACAUCAUUCGGUUGUGCAAGUGAAAGGCAAUAAUGACGAUAUAUGAUGAAGUGACUGGGCCUGGAAAAGCUGGUAUGAACUCGAUCUAUUUUACUUUUGUAACUAUGACUAGCUCAUCGUUCCGAAUUCAGCUUUGUUAUGAGAGAAACAUGUUUGCAAUGACAACUUAGAGAUCAUAGUUUCUGAUGCCAUGCUUAAUUAGCUAGGAGCUUAUAAUGGUUUGUCUUGGAUGCCAACAUGAAUUUUGAGAUGAUUAUGAUGUAGUAUGAUAGGAUGGUAUCCUCCUUUGAAUGAUUCAAGUGGAUUGACUUGGCACAUGUUUACGCAUGUAGUUGAAACAAAAUCAACAUAGCCUCUAUGAUAUUCAUGUUCAUGGUGAUUUAUGUCCUACUCAUGCUUGCACUCGAUGUUGGUUAAUCUCAAUGCAUAUUGAUGACUGUUGUCGCUCUCUAGUUGGUCGCUUCCCAGGCUUUUGCUAGCCUUCACUUGUACUAAGCGGGAAUACUGCUUGUGCAUCCACUUCCAUAAACCCAAAGUUGUUCCAUAUGAGUCCACCAUACCUACCUAUAUGCGGUAUCUAGCUACCGUUCCAAGUAAAUUUGCAUGUGCCACUCUCUAAACCUUCAAGAAAUAAUCUAUUUUGCAUGCCCGAACCGCUCAUGUGGUGACAAGGGGCGAUCAGUAUCUUCCAUGCUAGGCGUGUUAUCCUCGAUACGUGUUUAUUCACUAUCAUUCACGAGAAAGGGGCCGGUAAUUGGAAUGCCCAGUUCCACGCUCUAAUCGGAAAUAUAAUUGCAAACAAAACUCCCCCUGGAUUGUUGUUGGUAUGGACGGCACCCGAGUAUUCGUCUAGUCAUGGAGUGUGAUUGAUUGGUGGUGGGGGAGUCAAAACUUUACUUUUCUGUUUGGGAACCGCCUAUAGUAUGUGUAGCAUGGAAGAUGGUGAAAAAUCUUGGUCAUUGCGUUGACAAUGAAAGCAUGCCACCCAAAAUUAUUUAUCUCUGUCUUCAAACCUUGAGCUCUGGCACCUCUGCAAAUCAAUGCUUCCCUCUGCGAAGGGCCUAUCUAUUUAUGUUUCAGUUGAAUCAUCCUUUCCUUAUAAAAGCACCAAUUAGAGAGCACCUCCGUCAUUUUUAUGCUUCGCUAUUAAUUUUAUUGAGUAUGACUGUGACUAGAUCUUGUUUGCCAUGAAUUACAAUGUUCAGUCAGCCCUUGGUCUUUGAAGGUGCUCUGCAUUUAUGUUUUGCGGUCUCAGAAAGAGCUAGCGAGAUAUCAUCUGUUCAUAUUGCUUCAUGAUUGUUUUGAUUGAAGUGUUGACGUUUGGAACUUAUUAUUAUUGCUCGCUAGUUGAUUAUGCCAUUGAUAUGAGUUUACCAUGAGACCUAAAUGCCAUUGCUUAUGUGGUUAGCUUAUGAUCUUGCUGAAAAUCUGAAUAUGAGUUAGACAUAAUUACAACAACAAGAUCAAACAGAGUUCGUAAAAGUUUUUCUUUUCUCUCUUUCGGUUUGUCAACUGAAUUGCUUGAGGACAAGCAAGGCUUUAAGCUUGGGGGAGUCGAUACGUCUCCGUCGUAUCUACUUUUCCAAACUCUUUUGCCCUUGUUUUGGACACUAAUUUGCAUGAUUUGAAUGGAACUAACCCAGACUAACGCAGUUUUCAGUAGAAUUGCCAUGGUGUUGUUUUUGCGCACAAAUAAAAGUUCUCGGAAUGACCUGGAAAUUUACGAGGAUUUUUUGUGGAAUAUAUAGAAAAUACUGGCGCAAGAAUCAACCGGAGACGUGGAGCGAGGAGCCCACAAGCCCAGGAGGCGCGGGCCCCCCUGGCCGCGCCUAGUAGGCUUGUGGGGCCCUCGGGGCUCCGCCGCCUCCAAUUCCAGCUCUAUUUAGUCCCUUUCGUUCGGAAAAAAAUCAAGGAGAAGAGUUCAUCGCGUUUUACGAUACGGAGGCGCCACCACCACCUGUUCUUCCUCUGGAGGGCAGAUCUGGAGUCCGUUCUGGGCUCCGGAGAGGGGAGAUCAUCGCCAUCGUCAUCACCAACCUUUCUUCAUCGCCUAUUCAAUGAUGCUCUUCAUCGUUCGUGAGUAAUCUCAUCGUAGGCUUGCUGGACGGUGAUGGGUUGGAUGAGAUCUAUCAUGUAAUCGAGUUAGUUUUGAUGGGAAUUGAUCCCUAGUAUCCACUAUGUUCUAUGAUUAAUGUUGCUACUACUUUGCCAUGCUUAAUGCUUGUCACUAGGGCCCGAGUGCCAUGAUUUCAGAUCUGAACCUAUUAUGUUCUUGUCAAUAUAUGUGUGUUCUAGAUCCUAUCUUGCAAGUUGUAGUCACCUACUAUGUGUUAUGACCCGGCAACCCCGAAGUGACAAUAGCCGGAACCAGUCCCGGAGAUGACCAUAGUAUGAGGAGUUCAUGUAUUCACUAAGUGCUAAUGCUUUGUUCCGGUUCUCUGUUAAAAGGAGAACCUUAAUAUCCCGUAGUUUCCAUUAGGACCCCGCUGCCACGGGAGGGAUGGACAAUAGAUGUCAUGCAAGUUCUUUUCAUAAGCAUGUAUGACUAUAUACGGAAUGCAUGCCUACAUUACAUUGACGAACUGGAGCUAGUUACUUAUCUCCCCAUGUUAUAACUGUUACAUGCUCAAUGUCAUCCGGCAUAAUUAUCCAUCACCGAUCCAAUGCCUACGAGUUUUUCCUAUUGGUCCUUGCUACGUUACUUUGUCGCUACUGCUGUCACUGCUGCUACUGUUACCGCUACUGCUUUCACUCCUACUGUUACUGCUGCUACUGUUGCUAUCACACUACUCCGUUACUGAAACUUUGCUACAGAUACUAAGUCUUUCAGGUGUGGUUGAAUUGACAACUCAACUGCUAAUACUCGAGAAUAUUCUUUUGCUUCCCCUUGCGUCAAAUCAACAAAUUUGGGUUGAAUACUCUACCCUCGAAAACUGUUGUGAUCCCCUAUACUUGUGGGUUAUCACGUGCCCCCACUAGAAUAAACUAGCUUGGGCCAGUCCUGGCCGACCCGAGUGGAAAACAGACUCAAAGAAAGUUUAAGACUCCUGCCGACUGCUUCUAGUCGAUAGCAGUCUUGGGGACUACACCUAGUGGGGUGCAUUUAGCAUGCCCCCCGCUAGAGAAAAAACACCCACUGGGUGUGCUCCGUGCAAACCCACUCAGAAACAAAAAGACACCCAUAUGAAUACUUCAAGACUCUGACUCAAAAUUGUACUUACAAUAGUACUUACUCGAACCUUAGUCCUCAAAGCCUCACUGGCAUCAUACAUCUCAUUUAGUCAGUCGUGCAUCAGUUCCACUUGGAUAAUAUCCUCCUUGCUUGACCCCACCUAAUCUUCACGAGUCCUGUGCAGAGUGAAUAAGGUGAACAGGGUAGGCUAUGGGGUAGGCAUUGGCAAAGGAGUGGAGGAUGCGGCAGCAAGUUUGGAGCCCGCCCAAAUCGUCACACUCAGGCGGAUAGACUAGUCAACGACCUUGGAUGGAAAGUCUCAACUCACUCGUCUUGUCGAGGUGUCCUGCAUAAUGAUAUCACUGUCGCACGACACUGUCACGCCCAAGAUGCGACCCUAUCCUCAAUUUGGCACGAGGGCCUCGUCAGGGAUAGAAGCGCAUCUCGUCGUGUCGCAAGAAUGGAUAUCGUUACAAGUACAUGUACUGAAAAGAAGAGAUAUAUAUAUAGAAUUGGCUUACACUCGCCACAAGCUACAUUAGAGUCACAUCAGUACAUUACAUAAUCAUCAAGAGUAAGAGCAGGGUCCGACUACGGACGAAAACAAACGAGAAAAAUAAGAACGACGUCCAUCCUUGCUAUCCCAGGCUGCCGGCCUGGAACCCAUCCUAGAUCGAUGAUGAAGAAGAAGAAGAAGCAACUCCAAAUGAACAAUCAACGCGCUUGCGUCAAGUAACCUUUACCUGCACCUGCAACUGGUGUUGUAGUAAUCUGUGAGCCACACGGGACUCAGCAAUCUCAUUUCCAAAGGUAUCAAGACUAGCAAAGCUUAAUGGGUGAGGCAUGGUUAAGUGGUGAGGUUGCAGCAGCGGCUAAGCAUAUAUAUAUAUAUGGUGGCUAAAUUACGAGUUCAAGUAAUAAGAGGGGGAAGAUCUACGCAUAACGGACAUGACUAUUGAUGAUCAAAUGAAUGAUCCUGAACACCUACCUACGUCGGACAUAACCCCAUCGUGUCCUCGGUCGGAGAAGGAACUCACGAAAGAGACAGUCGCAGUUACGCACACAGUUGGCAUAUUUUAAUUAAGUUAACUUCAAGUUAUCUAGAACCAGUGUUAAACAAAGCUUCCAUGUUGCCACAUAACCGCGGGCACGGCUUUCCGAAAAGAUUUAACCCUGCAGAGGUGCUCCAACUAGUCCAUCACAAAUUACCACAAGCCGCAUAGAAAUCCUCAAUCACGAAGCUCGCGAUCUCGUCGGAUUCCCUAGUGGAAAACCUCAACUCUGAGAUUACCCAAAAGCAUCACCGGAAUCCCGAUGCACAAGAUAUCUCGUCAAAGGUAAAAACUAAUCCAGCAAGGUCACCCGGUGUGUCGACGAACCCGAUAGGAGCCACGUAUCUCGUUCUCAGGACACACCAUCUAUGCAUAGUGGACGGUAGCCAAACCUCGAGUUGCCACGUGCUGGCACCGCCGACUGCUAGGUGGGUGGACCAACACUCAUGCGGAGCACUGGCCCGGGGGGUGAUUAAAUUUCCUCGGGUUAAUUACUCCCUAUGCAGUUCAUUAGUUAUUAGGCAAAUGUAGUACCAAAGUUGGGCCCUGCCAGACCAGCUUUAUUCUAAAACGAAUUAUCAAGGGGGUCCCCAUAACAACCCCGAUCGUGUUAGGAGCGCUCAUUUAUGGAACAUAAGACCGGUAGCCGGAAACUAAGGGGGCAAAGGUGGAACAAAACACCAGGCUAGAAAGNNNNNNNNNNNNNNNNNNNNNNNNNNNNNNNNNNNNNNNNNNNNNNNNNNNNNNNNNNNNNNNNNNNNNNNNNNNNNNNNNNNNNNNNNNNNNNNNNNNNNNNNNNNNNNNNNNNNNNNNNNNNNNNNNNNNNNNNNNNNNNNNNNNNNNNNNNNNNNNNNNNNNNNNNNNNNNNNNNNNNNNNNNNNNNNNNNNNNNNNNNNNNNNNNNNNNNNNNNNNNNNNNNNNNNNNNNNNNNNNNNNNNNNNNNNNNNNNNNNNNNNNNNNNNNNNNNNNNNNNNNNNNNNNNNNNNNNNNNNNNNNNNNNNNNNNNNNNNNNNNNNNNNNNNNNNNNNNNNNNNNNNNNNNNNNNNNNNNNNNNNNNNNNNNNNNNNNNNNNNNNNNNNNNNNNNNNNNNNNNNNNNNNNNNNNNNNNNNNNNNCUAGGUCGAUCAGGUUGAAGGUUUCAUGGCAUUGUUGAGAGGCUGAUAUUUAACAUGUGGUAGGCAACGAGACAUAACGACAGAAACGAUAAAACUAGCAUGGCAAUGAUAGUAAUGGUAUCUGGGGAAAUGGUCAUCUUGCCUGAGAUCCAGCUUGGAAGAAGAAUGCAUCCGUGAAGCAGACAAACCGACGUAGUCGAACAGGUCCUCACAAUCCGGCACGCUGCGGAACUCUAUCGAGAUGAAGCAAACCGGAAACACAAAUCAACACACGGAAUUCACCACACGAUGCACAACAUAAAUGAUGCAUGAGAAGCUGAAACAUGCAAGUCACGGCAUGACAAAUCACACACUCAAACACUACACAUUAAGUGAAGUUCAAUAUGCAACGAGUUGCAUAUUGACGAAACUCCACGUUAAUUUAUUUAGUUCUAUCCCGAUUAGGUACACAGCAAUAUUAAAUGUGGUUAAACAUGGCAAGAGGUGAAGCGUAAUUAAACUACUUAUCUAGGCAUUUUAAAUGAGGUCGGAAAUGACAUAUAGCACCUCCGAGAUGACCUCACAUGUUAAUUUACGAUUCUGUCCAGAUCUGAACUAACACAUUUAAAUAGUUGUUAAACAGCAAAACAAAUAGGUUCACAUGAAUCUACGCGUCAUUUCAAGCAAUCUACACAUAAAGAACAUCUCCAACGGAGCUACGGGUCAAAAGUUACAAGCACCGCAAGAUAUGAUAGCAUGAAUGCAAUAUGUGUGCAACGAUGGCUAUGAGCACUUCAAAACAUACAACCAGCAAGAGAAAAUGAAACUACACGAGAUUAUAAGCAAGUUUCAUGUAGGACACGAUCAAAUCGGAGCUACGGUUCAACAACUACGAGCAAAACAAGAACUGACUACAAUCUGCCAAAAUCAGCCACAUAGCAUUUUCUACACCCCACAACUACGGGCUACACAACUCCGAUAAACUCAAGCAAGGCAUGACACCAAAGAGGGCAAGAAGCGCUACUACAAACAACUAACAACAACUAGCAUGGCAUCAUGGAUCACUAGGAAAAGAAGACACAAAAUGGCAUCUCACACACUAUUUCAGACUUAGUGAAAAUUACACCUCAUGAAAGUGCAGUUUUCGGUCUGAAGCAAUAUUGACAGCAGAAAAACCUAUAGCUACAGGACUCCAAAUGGCAUGAAAAUUCACAGAAUGCUAGAGAAACACAAGGGCUACAACUAACUCCAUUGGACCAACCUCAGAAGAGCUACAUAUCACAAGAUAGAAGCAAAACAAAACAGCAACAAAAUAAUAACAGAUUCCAGACUUAGAAAUAUUUCAGCUCCUCAAAAUCAGCACUAUUUCUAGCAACUUGAGGGCAAUCAAACCACACCUAAACAUGCAUUUCUAUUGCAACUAAAAAUACCAGGGGCUAGUCUAAACAUCAAAGAUCAACUCUCUAGUUGACAACUCCGUCAAACGAAGCACGGAAUAAAUCCUAUGAAUUAAACAAAAGGGCAUCACGGCAAAAUAUCGCGUGAACUAACUUGCUCAAAAGCUAAAACAAAUUGCACAGAAAAAUCACAUGGAUUUUUCUACCCCGAAAACAUAUAAAAUAUGUGGGGUUGCACAACAAAAUAUUGCCACACGUAAAUGCGAGAUAUAACCCUAAACACGGAAAAUAAUCUAGCGGCAAAUCCCUACACGCAAAAAUACCAACGACUACUCUAAAAUACGUGGCAAAGGUGUCCCUAGAGCUUGGACAUUUUAUCUAAGGCAUUCGAGCAAUCCGGACUUGCGCGAAAAAUAAAUAGGGGCACUAUCAUAUCUAGACAGCACGUAAACCUAGGCAUAUGGCGGCUCAAACUACGUCAAACAAUUAUGCAUGUUGCAAAAACGGAUUCUACGCGAAAUUCUACGCCAAAACCAUAUACAAUUUCCUCGAUUCGACUUACGGAUAAUAAUCUACGGACGAUCUAAUAUUCAUCUAUUUUUCUGGAAUUUAUUAAUACCGAGAAUAACCUAAUAUACUAAUGGGCCUAACGGGGCGCAAGAUAAAUUAACACCGCAUUGUGCAAAAAAAGAGGGCUCGGGUGUUGGCUCACUUUGGGCCAGCCCGUUCGGUGGAGAGGCAGGUCGGCUCGGCUCCUGGAGCAGUCAAGGCCCACGCGGGGCGAGGGCGCUGCUGGCCUGGAUCGGGAGAGGGGAGACUAGGCCGGCUGCAGCAGCCCACGGGGCCGGCGCGGUCAACCGCCUCUCCCCCGAUCUGGUGCUCGCUCCAGAUCGCGUCGGCGGAGCGCUCACUAGCGGGAGGUCCCGCACGGGAGAUGCCCAGCGGCACUGCAGCAGGCGACGGCACGCCGGCGCGGACACAGGGGCCUGGGCGACGGCGGCGCACGCGGGAGGCGAGCAGGCGGGGCGGUGGGGCAGGCCGACGGUGAGGAAGCUGCCGGCUGCGCGAGAUCUCGCAUGGGGGCAGAACGGGGCGGCGCACCGGCGAGGCAGCGGCCAUGGCCGACGCUGGAGGCGCAAGGCGGCGGGGCUGGCUGUGCAAGGGCCGGCGGCGGCGGCGAGAGGGAGUCCCGAGGCACGGGUGCUGCUGCGGGGUUGGUCACCUCGGGCAGGGACUCCAUGGAAGGGGGCUCGGGCUAGCGGCGGCGGCGGCGGCUCGGGCCCGGGCGGGCUCCAGAUGGGCCUGGGCGGGCCCCGUGCGGGAGGAGAGAGGAGAGAGGCUGGAGGUGGCGGCUGUUGGGGUAGGUGGGGCACGGAAAUCGAGGUGGAGGGGGUUGGCUGGCUAAAAUUAAGGAGGAGGUCUAUUUAUAGACAAAUGGAGGGCUAGGUUACCCGGAAUCGCGUUCCGGAUCCAACCGCGGGGUCGGAUUCGAAAGAUUCCGCACGCGGGAACGGGUACGCGGCCGUGUAGAGGGGAUAUCCGAAGACGAGAGGGAGAACGGGCGGCGCGGCAACGAUUUUUAAAACACCGACAGACGUCCGACGGUAGACCUAAUAUAGUGGCGCUACAGUCGACCGUUCGGGUAGCAGACGGACUCCGAGCAUAACGAAAUUCGAUAGGCGGCCUAGCUAUAACUAAUCACGACCGCAUGCCAAGUUUUACCCCGAUCCGAGAAAGUUUUACGCACACUUUUAAAAACAGGGUUUCGACGAUAGCGCGGGCGCGUGCGUGUGCGGUCGGGCUCAGAACAAACAACGACAAGAACCGGCAACUGACAAUGGAUGCAAGUUUUGAAAAACUGGCGGCAACGGGAUGCCUAUGCAAUGCUGAUGAUGCGCAUGAUGCGAUUAUGAUGCGACAAAUGAAAAUACCCACACGACAAAAACGGAAAGAAAAGGGGAAUCUUCUGGAACGUCGGCACCGGGCUGUCACAACUCUCCUACACUACAAGAGGAUCUCGCCCCGAGAUCCAAGAAUGGAAGGGGAAGAGGAAGAACAAGAGGUAAAAACUUAGUUGCUUCUUUGACAAACGAGUGAAACCAACGAUCCUUGAAAGUUGCAAAGAGAUGAGGAAUGAUAUGAGAAAGAAGCAAGAAUUCACGGAAAAUUUCGGCAGCACUUCGGUAGGAAAAUGGGACAAAAAAUUCGAUAAGAUGGGAAAAAUAGACAAUAUACAUAACAAACAACUAAAUAGAGCAAGGGAACACCAUGAUCUUGAUAGAACAAGAAGCUAGACCCAAAAGAGCAACAUCAGAAAGCCUCCGGAACAAUAGAAUAGGAACUAGCUCAAACGGAAGAAGAGAAUGAAACAAAAGAAUGACAACUAUCAUCACAAUAGAAUUGAAGAGCCUCUGGACAGAGAAUUGACUUAGUAGUUGGAAAACCAACCACUAAAAUAAACAAGGAUAGAUUGGGAGAAACAAGGUAUGAAUAAUUCUUACACCAAGAGGAUACAUUGAGAACUUGGAUUAAUGAUAAGCACCAUGAUAGCAACAAUCCAUAGGAAAAGCUUUAGGUGAAAUCCAAACCAAGAUAGCUCAAUGAAGAAAUCAUGGGUUGAAAUAUCUCAUGAUCAUAGAAUUGGUGGUUUUAAUUAUCUCAUUCUUGAAAGGAAAUCUCUUCGAGGCUCCUACACUACCAAGAAUGCUAUAAUACCACCUCAAAGGAUAAAGGAAGAACAAAUGCACUGGAGAUGCAAGAGAAAGGAUACUUGAGGUACUCGAAGAGGAAUGUUGAAGAACACUUUGAGAAAAAUCACAUCCUUGAAGAAUGACCAUGACGAGCCUCCGUAUGAAAAGGAUGAUGCAAAUAUAAGAAUGAUGAAAGAAUAAGAUUGAAGCCUUCCAAGACUUCAAUGAAGCUUCACAAAGAGAUACUUGACAAAACUUGGAACUCCGGAAAGAAAACAUAAGAACACUUUGAGAACAAGGAAUUGAUAUCAUGAGCCACUCCGGAAGAAGAAUUGAAAUCCCUUGGAAGAAGGAAGAACAAGAAUAAGAAUUAUGUUAUGCUUAUCCUUCAUCAAGUUAAAUUGAUGACAAGCCACGGAUUAAACAUACAACUUAUUCCUCUUGAAAAGAUUAAAGAGAGAUAGAUAAAGCACAAACUAGAAGAAAUGUUGCAAGAAACACCGGUAAGAAUUCACAAUUGAAUGGGAACACCACGAAUUAAUGGAGAUACAUGAGAAUGAAGAGAACAUAAGCCACCUAAGAGAAAACUUGAACAAGGCACCGGAUAAACGAGAGACGAACAAAGAGACAACAAUGGAGAAGAAUUGAGGAUGAAAGCUGAAAGCUGAGAACGAAGAAUCUUCUGAAAUGAUGGCCUUCGGAGGAACGAGAAAUGAACACAACAUUGAAAUGCACCGGGUCGCAAGAAAGGGAUACUCAUGAUUGGGAAUAAUUCAAGAUGAUGGCACAAAGCUGGAAUGAUGAAUCUACUAGAGAAUGGACCAAGAUUUGAGUGAAACACUCCUUCAGAUUUCCAAGCUAAGAAUGAUGACGAGAACAACACCACGAAUAACUGAGACACUCCGGAAUAAAGAAGAAUGCAAGUUUGAGCCAAAUAUGAGAAUUAAUUCAAAUUGAUCUUAAAUAAGGAAUAUGACUGAUGAAAAUCAUACUUACGUCAUAGUUGAGAAGAAUUAAAGAUCUCCGGAAAGAUUAGAAGAGACAUAUAAGAUCCUGGGAAAAACCUGUGGGUUAUGGGGCCACUCGAAGAAACCACCGUUGAAAAGAUUGCUAGAAAGAGGGAUAUUGCACCAUACAAAGAAACUUGAUGAGGUUGAACACCUUGAAAUAAUUGAAAGAAUUGAUAACAAGAAACUACUGGGAUAUCUUCAACGCUCCGGAAAGAAUAGAGAUAAAUGCCAACAGAAGACUAGAUAAGAAUUUCCAACAAAGGAAAGAAUUACAAGGACGAAACAAAUAUGAUGAACACGGACAACUGAAUUAAAUUCACCGGAAAAGAUGACAAGAAUGAACAAAUAUGACACGAAUCUCCUAAGAAUGUUCACCAUGAAUCACCGGUUACGAAAGGAAGAAGAGAUAGCGGAAGCAUCACUGAAAUGAAAUGCAGUUGGAUGAAAUCCAAUCACUGAAGAAAAAGGGCGGGAGGGCGGNNNNNNNNNNNNNNNNNNNNNNNNNNNNNNNNNNNNNNNNNNNNNNNNNNNNNNNNNNNNNNNNNNNNNNNNNNNNNNNNNNNNNNNNNNNNNNNNNNNNNNNNNNNNNNNNNNNNNNNNNNNNNNNNNNNNNNNNNNNNNNNNNNNNNNNNNNNNNNNNNNNNNNNNNNNNNNNNNNNNNNNNNNNNNNNNNNNNNNNNNNNNNNNNNNNNNNNNNNNNNNNNNNNNNNNNNNNNNNNNNNNNNNNNNNNNNNNNNNNNNNNNNNNGGCGGGAGGGCGGGGAAAAACAAAGACAACUUGGGACAGAUGAGAUGAACUCCGGAAUAAAUGAGAGAACGAUCUUGCAAAAAUUGAAGAGGAUUGAAUCCACUUGGAGAGAACCACACCGGUUGGAAAAGAAUUAACAUGACGACUCCGGUUGACAAGAAUUAACAAGAGAAUUGAUUUGAGCCAAAGAAUUAGCAUUCACAUAAAAAUAUGAGAACACCACUAGAAAGAUCUGAAAUCACCACUUGACAUCGAAACAACUGAAUUACCAUAUUCAACAAAACAAAGGGUUGAGGCUUAUGAAACAAGUCAGAACAAACUCAUGAGAAAGAUUUCGUCCGAUAUUUUCGUGGACAGGAAUCCACUAGAUGUCGAACCCCAACCUAACAUCAUGCAUUUGUUGGAAGAAUGUCCUAUAAGUAACUACUUGAAUUCCCACCUAAGAAUUUCCAAAAUAUCUGGUCAUGCAAUCUGGUACACGGAUACAAGGAGUAAUAUCACACAACUCCUACACUAACCCGUCAACUGUAUCACAUCCGUCAACACACAACCAGAAUCUCGGACCUUCAUCUACAACAGACCCUCGUGAUCACAACGAUACAAAGUAUGGUAGUACUCCCGAACAAUCUGCACCAGUACUGGGGACAUCGGGGUUAUCUCGCCACUACUAGUAUUGAAGCAAUUACGAACAUCCUUCGUUCUGAGAUACUAAGAAAUCUGAAUGAUAACGAUGUGCUCGAGAAUCCCCUGGAGCUCAACUCCCCUGAAACUUAAAGCAGAUAGGAGGCACCAAGACAGAACUCCGUCACAUCGGCAUCAUAUAGAUUCCAAAAAUAUCUGCGUGAUCCUAAAAAAAUUGAGUGAGAAGAGGGGUAGAAUUAAAUUAUUACGUCAAGAUUCCUCACCAGAGCAUAGAAGAGGAGAAAAAAGAAUCCUACUCUCCGAUAUAUAACUAGACUCAAAGUAGUUUUUCACUACACUCGACUCGGCCAAGUUCGAUCAAUCAAGGGGGCUCCUAGGUCGGUACUGCUCUCAUACCAACUUGUCAUGCCCAAGAUGUGACCCUAUCCUCAAUUUGGCACGAGGGCCUCGUCAGGGAUAGAAGCACAUCUCGUCGUGUCGCAAGAAUGGAUAUCGUUACAAGUACAUGUACUGAAAAGAAGAGAUAUAUAUAUAUAUAGAAUUGGCUUACACUCGCCACAAGCUACAUUAGAGUCACAUCAGUACAUUACAUAAUCAUCAAGAGUAAGAGCAGGGUCCGACUACGGACGAAAACAAACGAGAAAAAUAAGAACGACGUCCAUCCUUGCUAUCCCAGGCUGGAUCGAUGAAGAAGAAGAAGAAGAAGCAACUCCAAAUGAACAAUCAACGCGCUCGCGUCAAGUAACCUUUACCUGCACCUACAACUGGUGUUGUAGUAAUCUGUGAGCCACAGGGGACUCGGCAAUCUCAUUUCCAAAGGUAUCAAGACUAGCAAAGCUUAAUGCGUGAGACAUGGUUAAGUGGUGAGGUUGCAGCAGCGGCUAAGCAUAUAUAUAUUGUGGCUAACUUACGAGUACAAGUAAUAAGAGGCGCGAAGAUCUACGCAUAACGGACGUGAACUACUGAUGAUCAAAUGAAUGAUCCUGAACACCUACCUACGUCACACAUAACCCCACCGUGUCCUCGAUCGGAGAAGGAACUCACGAAAUAGACAGUCAUGGUUACACACACAGUUGGCAUAUCUUAAUUAAGUUAACUUCAAGUUAUCUAGAACCAGUGUUAAACAAAGCUUCCACGUUGCCACAUAACCGCAGGCACGGCUUUCCGAAAAGAUUUAACCCUGCAGGGGUGCUCCAACUAGUCCAUCACAAAUUACCACAAGCCGCAUAGAAAUCCUCAAUCACGAAGCUCGCGAUCUCGUCGGAUUCCCUAGUGGAAAACCUCAACUCUGAGAUUACCCAAAAGCAUCUCCGGAAUCCCAAUGCACAAGAUAUCUCGUCAAAGUUAAAACUAAUCCAGCAAGGUCACCCGGUGUGUCGACGAACCCGAUAGGAGCCGCGUAUGUCGUUCUCAGGACACAACGUCUAUGCAUAGUGGACGGUAGCCAGACCUCGAGUUGCCCCGUGGUGACACCGCCGACUGCUAGGUGGGUGGACCAACACUCAUGCGGAGCACUGGCCCGGGGGUUGAUUAAAUUUCCUCGGGUUAAUUACUCCCUAUGUAGUUCAUUAGUUAUUAGGCAAAUGUAGUACCAAAGUUGGGCCCUGCCAGACCAGCUUUAUUCUAAAAUGAAUUAUCAAGGGGGUCCCCAUAACAACCCCGAUCGUGUUAGGAGCUCUCAUUUAUGGAACAUAACACCGGUAGCCGGAAACUAAGGGGGCAAAGGUGGAACGAAACACCAGGCUAGAAAGNNNNNNNNNNNNNNNNNNNNNNNNNNNNNNNNNNNNNNNNNNNNNNNNNNNNNNNNNNNNNNNNNNNNNNNNNNNNNNNNNNNNNNNNNNNNNNNNNNNNNNNNNNNNNNNNNNNNNNNNNNNNNNNNNNNNNNNNNNNNNNNNNNNNNNNNNNNNNNNNNNNNNNNNNNNNNNNNNNNNNNNNNNNNNNNNNNNNNNNNNNNNNNNNNNNNNNNNNNNNNNNNNNNNNNNNNNNNNNNNNNNNNNNNNNNNNNNNNNNNNNNNNNNNNNNNNNNNNNNNNNNNNNNNNNNNNNNNNNNNNNNNNNNNNNNNNNNNNNNNNNNNNNNNNNNNNNNNNNNNNNNNNNNNNNNNNNNNNNNNNNNNNNNNNNNNNNNNNNNNNNNNNNNNNNNNNNNNNNNNNNNNNNNNNNNNNNNNNNNNNCUAGGUCGAUCAGGUUGAUAUUAUUGAGAGGUUGAUAUUUAACAUGUGGUAGGCAACGAGACAUAACGACAGAAACGAUAAAACUAGCAUGUCAAUGAUAGUAAUGGUAUCUGGGGAAAUGGUCAUCUUGCUUGAGAUCCCGCUUGGAAGAAGAAUACCUCCGUGAAGCAGACGAACCGACGUAGUCGAACGGGUCCUCACAAUCCGGCACGUUGCGGAACUCUAUCGAGAUGAAGCAAACCGGAAACACAAAUCAACACCCGGAAUUUACCACACGAUGCACAACACAAAUGAUGCAUGAGCAGCUGAAAACAUGCAAGUCACGGCAUGACAAAUCACACACUCAAACACUACACAUUAAGUGAAGUUCAAUAUGCAACGAGUUGCAUAUUGACGAAACUCCACGUUAAUUUAUUUAGCUCUAUCCCGAUUAGGUACACGGCAAUAUUAAAUGUGGUUAAACAUGGCAAGAGGUGAAGCGUAAUUAAACUACUUAUCUAGGCAUUUUAAAUGAGGUUGGAAAUGACAUAUAGCACCUCCGAGACGACCUCACAUGUUAAUUUACGAUUCUGUCCAGAUGUGAACUAACACAUUUAAAUAGUUGUUAAACAGCAAAAUAAAUAGGUUCACGUGAAUCUACGCGUCAUUUCAAGCAAUCUACACAUAAAGAACAUCUCCAACGGAGCUACGGGUCAAAAGUUACAAGCACCGCAAGAUAUGAUGGCAUGAAUGCAAUAUGUGUGCAACGACGGCUAUGAGCACUUCAAAACAUACAACCAGCAAGAGAAAAUGAAACUACACGAUAUUCUAAGCAAGUUUCAUGUAGGACACGAUCAAAUCGGAGCUACGGUUCAACAACUACGAGCAAAACAAGAACUGACUACAAUCUGCCAAGAUCAGCCACAUAGCAUUUUCUACACCCCACAACUACGGGCUACACAACUCCGAUAAACUCAAGCAAGGCAUGACACGAAAUAGGUCAAGAAGCACUACUACAAACAACUAACAACAACUAGCAUGGCAUCAUGGAUCACUAGGAAAAGAAGACACAAAAUGGCAUCUCACACGCUAUUUCAGACUUAGUGAAAAUUACACCUCAUGAAAAUGCAGUUUUCGAUCUGAAGCAAUAUUGACAGCAGCAAAACCUAUAGCUACAGGACUCCAAAUGGCAUGAAAAUUCGCAGCAUGCUAGAGAAACACAAGGGCUACAACUAACUCCAUUGGACCAACCUCAAAAGAGCUACAGAUCACAAGAUAGAAGCAAAACAAAACAGCAACAAAAUAAUAACUGAUUCUAGACUUAGAAAUAUUUCANGCUAGUCUAAACAUCAAAUAUCAACUCUCUAGUUGACAACUCCGUCAAACGAAGCACGGAAUAAAUCCUAUGAAUUAAACAAAAGGACAUCACGGCAAAAUAUUGCGCGAACUAACUUGCUCAAAAGCUAAAACAAAUUGCACAGAAAAAUCACAUGGAUUUUUCUACCCCGAAAACAUAUAAAAUAUGUGGGGUUGCACAACAAAAUAUUGCCACACGUAAAUGCGAGAUAUAACCCUAAACAUGGAAAAUAAUCUAGCGGCAAAUCCCUACACGCAAAAAUACCAACGACUACUCUAAACUACGUGGCAAAGGUGUCCCUAGAGCAUGGAAAUUUUAUCUAAGGCAUUCGAGCAAUCCGGACUUGCGCGAAAAAUAAAUACGGGCACUAUCAUAUCUAGACAGCAUGUAAACCUAGGCAUAUGGCGGCUCAAACUACGUCAAACAAUUAUGCAUGUUGCAAAAACGGAUUCUAAGCGAAAUUCUACGCCAAGACCAUAUACAAUAUGCCUCGAUUUGACUUACGGAUAAUAAUCUACGGACGAUCUAAUAUUCAUCUAUUUUUCUGGAAUUUAUUAAUUCCGAGAAUAACCUAAUAUACUAAUGGGCCUAACGGGGCCCAAGAUAAAUUAACACCGCAUUGUGCAAAAAAAAAGAGGGCUCGGGUGUUGGCUCACUUUGGGCCGGCCCGUUCGCUGGAGAGGGAGGCCGUCUCGGCUCCUGGAGCAGUCAAGGCCCACGCGGGGCGAGGGCGCUGCUGGCCUGGAUCGGCAGAGGGGCGACUGGGCCGGCUGCAGCAGCCCACGGGGUCGGCACGGUGAACCGCCUCUCCCCCGAUCUGGUGCUCGCUCCAGAUCGCGUCGGCGGAGCGCUCACUAGCGGGAGGUCCCGCGCGGGAGAUGCCCAGCGGCACUGCAGCAGGCGGCGGCACUGCAGCAGGCGGCGGCACGCAGGCGCGGACACGGGGGACUAGGCGACGGCGGCGCACGCGGGGCGGCGGGGCAGGCCGGCGGUGAGGAAGCUGCCGGCUGCGCGAGAUCUCGCGUGGGGGCAGAACGGGGCGGCGCACCGGCGAGGCAGCGGCCGUGGCCGACGCUGAAGGCGCAAGGCGGCGGGGCUGGCUGUGCAAGAGCCGGCGGCAGCGGCGCGAGGGAGUGCCGAGGCACGGGUGCUGCUGCGGGGUUGGUCACCUCGGGCAGGGACUCCAUGGAAGGGAGCUCGGGCUAGCGGCGGCGGCGGCUCGGGCCCGGGUGGGCUCCAGAUGGGCCUAGGCGGGCCCUGUGUGGGAGGAGAGAGGAGAGAGGCUGGAGGUGGCGGUUGUUGGGGUGGGUGGGGCGCGGAAAUCGAGGUGGAGGGGGUUGGCUGGCUAAAAUUAAGGAGGAGGUCUAUUUAUAGACAAAUGGGGGGCUAGGUUACCCGGAAUCGCGUUCUGGAUCCAACCGCGGGGUCGGAUUCGAACGAUUCCGCACGCGGGAAUGGGUACACGGCCUGUAGAGGGGAUAUCCGGAGACGAGAGGGAGAACGGGCGGCGCGGCAACGAUUUUUAAAACACCGACAGACGUCCGACGGUAGACCUAAUACGGUGCCGCUACAGUCGACCGUUCGGGUACCAGACGGACUCCGAGCACGACGAAAUUCGAUAGGCGGCCUAGCUAUAACUAAUCACGACCGCAUGCCAAGUUUCACCCCGAUCCGAGAAAGUUUUACGCACACUUUUAAAAUAGGCUUUCGAAGAUGGCGCGGGCGCGUGCGAGUGCGGUCGGGCUCAGAACAAACAACGACGAGAACCGACAACUGACAACGGAUGCAAGUUUUGAAAAACUGGCGGCAACGGGAUGCCGAUGCAAUGUUGAUGAUGCGCAUGAUGCGAUGAUGAUGCGACAAAUGAAAAUGCCCACACGACGAAAACGGAAAGAAAAGGGGAAUCUUCUGGAACGUCGGCACCGGGCUGUCACAGACACUCUCUCAUUGGCUGAUGGGCUUGGCAGGUCAACCUUGUUGUCAUCAUCGAGCUUAAUCACCUUAGUUGGAGCUGCAAUCGCACGGAUGUUAAAUGCUAAAAUUGCAUAUCACUUGAAAUUAGUUUGGGACUGAGUUAACCAAUACCUUUGGAAUAUUCAGCAUCUCCUUCCGCUUGACACUUCCCCACAACCUUCGCAUUGAAUGAGGUUGUCAAAGUAUCGAAAAGGUAGUCACAGAGUCGCUUGGCUGAUAGGAUAUGAGAAUUCAUUAAAUGAAGAGAAUUAGUCUUGAUACUUAAUUCCAUGCCACCAGCACAGACAACUUGAUCUUUGACAGAGACGCGGCCUUCCGGGGCUUGGUGGAGAUGAUCUUGGGUUGUUUGGCCACCUUCUCACACGUCCGUGCGGACUUACAUCAACCACGCUUCGAGCUAUGCGUGCCAGGGACCGACGUAGUUGUCUUAGGGCCACUCGCUCCCUUGGCGCCGCCAGCAUGGGCACUCGGAUAGUGGUGGCUCUUGGAGCGGUUCUCUCAUGGGAUGUUCAACGACAGAGAAGACCCUGCCUCCUCCCUGUCCUGUGUGUCCUCCUCGUCGCUUUCCUCAUUGCUGUUGGGGAACGUUGCAUGGGAAACAAAAAAUUUCUUACGCGCACGAAGACCUAUCAUGGUGAUGUCCAUCUACGAGAGGGGAUAUUCGAUCUACGUACCCUUGUAGACCGCACAGCAUAAGCGUUAGUGAACGCGGUUGAUGUAGUGGAACGUCCUCACGUCCCUCGAUCCGCCCCACGAACCGUUCCGCGAUCAGUCCCACGAUCUAGUGCCGAACGGACGACACCUCCGCGUUCAGCACACGUACAGCUCGACGAUGAUCUCGGCCUUCUUGAUCCAGCAAGAGAGAUGGAGAGGUAGAUGAGUUCUCCGGCAGCGUGACGGCGCUCCGGAGGUUGGUGAUGAUCUUAUCUCAGCAAGGCUCCGCCUGAGCUCCGCAGAAACGCGAUCUAGAGGUAAAACCGUGGAGAUAUGUGGUCGGGCUGCCGUGGCAAAAGUUGUCUCAAAUCAGCCCUAAAACCUCCGUAUAUAUAGGGGGAAGAGGGGGAGCCUUGCCUUGGGGUCCAAGGACCCCCAAGGGGUUCGGCCGAGCCAAGGGGGGCAACCCUCGCCUUCCAAACCGAGUCCAACUAGGUUUGCAAGGAGGAGUCCUUCCCCCUUUUCCCACCUCCUCUUUUUUUUCUUUUCUCUUUGAUUUUCUUCCUAUGGCGCAUAGGGCCUUCUUGGGCUGUCCCACCANNNNNNNNNNNNNNNNNNNNNNNNNNNNNNNNNNNNNNNNNNNNNNNNNNNNNNNNNNNNNNNNNNNNNNNNNNNNNNNNNNNNNNNNNNNNNNNNNNNNNAAGCCGAGGGCGUCACAAAGGGGAGAGCUCUUCCCCUCUCGGUUCCAGACCAGAAACACCCAUGACCCGUGACCAGAUGUCUGACUUUAUUCCAGGGCCAUGAAGACCUUCAUCCCGGCUCCUCUACUUGGUGUGUACCCGAUAAUAGGUUUACGACCUGCUGAACUGUAUUCCCCUUGAAGAAGACCCGUGGCAACACGAAAUGGUAAGGUGGCACACUCACAAGACUCGAUCUACGGUCGACUCAGGAAGUUUAUGUUUUUCUGCAAGGGUUAGCACCACACAAAUUGCUGAAAUAGGGUUACCACCCUCACGCCUCGUUAUUCCCUCAUUGAUCACUCUCGUCCAAUGAGAUAUCAGUUCCAUGGUUACACAUGUAUCGCGAAAACUUUCCUCCAAGGUUGUCCAGACUAGCAUGGCAUACGUGGCAUGAGGUAGUACCCACUAACCAUCUUCAUCACAUGUAUUCAACGACAAGCAAAAAUACCCAUCACAUGCACUCAUGCAAGGUAUGAUCUUAUAUGGCAGUUUUUAUCAACAUAACAAAAUUUAUGCAUUCAAUGCACCACAAAAAGCAUCAUACAAAUUAAUACAAAUCAGAGAUCAAGAUGCUUGCCUUUGGAGUGAGGAAGGGUGGUGUGCACCCCAAAAAUCUUGAAGGAGUUUGCUUCCCUCCAAAUUCCUAUUUUGAAAAUAUUCGAUUUAAUACACAAUUCCAAAACAUGACAUAAAAGUUGUUUCGAAAUUUUUGAAAUAAAUAUUAAAAUAAACUAGAUGAAAUUUUAGAGAGGUAGGUAAAAUAAUCAAUUCAUUUGGAGUUUUAUAUUAAAUGUUGUAGCGAGUCAAAGUUCUUGUCAAAUUUAUUUUUAAACGAACCAGAAAAGAAAAUGGUUUGGGGGUGAAUACGCCUUCCAGAAACUGAAAACGUAUCCAUGCGAAGGCGCUUACGCGUGAGGAAGACGCACCCGCAGGACAGCGCCACGAGGGCGACGACUCUCUCACCGACAGGUGGGGACCACCUCUCGGGUUCAUCCCGUUCCUCCCACGCUGUGGCCAGAGGCCGAUUCCGUCAAAGACUGCCGAUGCUAGCGAGCGUCAUCCAUGGAGCUCGAUACACCGACGUGCUCAGGGGAAUGGACCACAUCUCAGGGAGCUGGAGGGGGUCACUAGGAGGCUUGGAGCUGAGCAGGGCUUCGGUCUUGGAGGACGACGGUGUCAAGAGGAAGAGGAACUUCGUCCCCGGUGGUUCCCGAGCUAAAAUUGGAGCGAGGAUGGGUUCCAGGGAGCUUGGGGAGGCUAGGAAAGGCUAAGGGGAGACGACUGGGGCUCGGGGCUGCCAGAUUUUGCCGGAGGCUUCCAGUGGCGCUACGGACAGAGGCGAACGAGGAGAGCGGCUCCGACCGAAUUGAGGCGAGGGGGAGGGAGUUGUGGGUCUAGGGAGGCUGCUGGAUACUCAAGGGGGCUCGGGGCAUCCUUUUAUAGCCGGCCCGAGGCGGUUCCCACGGCGGCUCGGGAUGAGGACGGCGGCGACAAGUUCUGGUGAUGCACAUGGGCGGCAGGAGCAGACUAGCGGUGCGGGCAGCACGAGGACGAGGGCAGCGGUGGUCCAAGGGGGCAUUUGGUGCGUGGGGAAGGCUCGGGCGGCGCCGACCACUACAACGGCAGAGCUGACUCCGGCUAGCCGUAAUGGCUGCCGCACUGCUGUGGCUCUGAGUGGCACAAGGCGUUUAGACUAUUGGUCGGGCUUGGCAUGGUGUGGCUUUGGUUCUACGGGCUGGUGAAAGGGCAAGGGCAGGGAUGCGACGGCUCGGGCACGCUGCCUG
rnacentral:lncRNA from 1 species